UUUUUUUUUUUUUUUUUUUUUUUUUGUUGUUGAAAAGGAAAGAGAACUUCAAAUCUGGGGUGGUUGUGUAAAAGAUAUGUGGCCAAUUAAACAUAUCAAAUGCAAUUGAAGGAUACAAACACUAAAUUUAUUCGAUCAACUCAAUUGACUACAAGCCUAGCCCACAAAACCUAGUAUGGCUCGCUCAGUAAAAAAAAAAAAAAAAACGCGUUUGCUCUCCGGUAUAAAUAGUUAAAAUACAAGGUUAAUUAUUUCAUUGUAGACUCUCUUAAUGCAAUUUAGUAUUUUGAAAUUUGAAUUAUUCUCUCCAAAACUUGAGUCGGAGGCUCCCUUGAAAAUAAAGUGCCCAUUGUUUAUGUGAAAAAGUUUAGAAUAUUAUCGUUUCAGUCAGACCAAGAACCUCAGUUACUAUACAUCGACUCCGGCUCUAGCGAGAAUUUAUUUGUCAUUUUGGAAUUUGCUCAAUUUUGCAAGAACAUUUGAUGUCUUCUGUGGGGAUUGAUUAUUAGCUACCUGAAAUGGCGCUUAGUACUCCUCCUACCAAUUGUAAUAAUUCUCACAGAGAUAAAUUUGGUCCAUAGCAAAGUCUCUCGAUCAAACCGCUUACUGAUCUAGGGGCAAGCGAGAGGGAUUCCGGUUCCCAAAACCAAGACAAAGACGUCGAGAUGCACAGGUUCAAGCAGCAAGUGGAAGUGCUCACAGGUAUGAUUGUUAAUUAAUGGAUUCAGGAUCAAAGACAGCACUUUGAAAACUAAGGAAAAGAAACCUCAAAUGGGACUCAACAGGACAAAACAAAAAUGGGAGAGCAGGAGUUUUAAAUAGGAAGCCCCCCACCAUUAGGCCAAUGAGAUGAAGAGCAGGAGAUGCUUCUACCCCGCGUGAAUCGAUGAGAACUGCUGUUUCUCAUAGUGAACCCGCUCAGGAGGAGGAUGUAAUGAUGAAACUUGACAAGUUUAAAGCUCGAGCAGACAAGAUAAAUGAUAAGAAAGGGGACAAACUAGUGUGAUUGGAUAGGAGAUUUUUUGGGAAAUUUUUUUUAAAAAAAAAUAAUAAAAUAAUUUUUUGAUGUGAUAUAUAAGAAAUAAAAAGUUUUCUCAACCUAAGAAAGCUUCGAUUGGUUGGAGCUUUUGUUGGAAAAGAAAUGGUUUGUCAUGCAAUGGGAUAUGUUUAUGAUACAAGCAGAUAGUUUUAUGUAAAUAAUUUGCUAUCCAACUCUAUGCCUUUCGCAUAUUGAAAUCAUGUUGGAAUCUCUUCAAUUCUUAUGAUGGUACGACAGAUGCAUGAGAAUAUUGGAUGCAUAUGCUCCAAGAUGUGCUUCUAAGGCACAAGCAUGGCUCGGCAUCACAGAUCGAGAUUACAUCGUGGUUUCGGUUGUACCACAUCCAUUGCAGCAUAUCAGUUGAAUAUAGGGUGCUACGUACAUUAUAGCACACAAAAUUUUUUUAAAAAUCUGAAAAAUUACUAAAAUUAGAAAAUGCCAAAAAGGCACAAUCUGAAAAAAUAUCCGAGUUGACUCGGAUAUAUUGGCCAAAAUUAUGCAUCACCUAUUCAAAUCGACCAAUAUCGAUUACUCAGAACGAGUUGCCGCGGAUAUAGUAAUAUCCGCAAUUCGAGAAUCAGUAUCGUACCGGUUCAUCUAUUUCGGUUACGACUCGGCCAAAUCAGCCGAUAUUGCUAACCGCACAAGAGAUGCUAUCUUUUGUCGAGGUUUCCCAUUCCCGGGCACGUUGAAAGGUGCAGCUUCCAAUUGGUUUCGCAAGUAUAAGAAGGGAAACAACAAAAGUUUGGAUCAACCAUUUGAUCUUUUUCUCACUAACUUUGAAAAUCAAAAACGCAUUUGGAGGACUUGUAUUCAUUUGAUGACAUUGAAACAGAGAGAGGAAGAAACCCUUCUAGAGUAUGUUGGGUUCAAGAAUGAAACUAUAAGCACAUGCUAGAGCCAAUGAGGAUAUGCAAAUUAUGGCGUUUCAAUACCAAAGCAAGAAAAUUCUCCGAGAAGAUAAAUCACAAGACUCCCAAAACUUUCAAGAACCUCUUUCAGAGAGUUGAAGAACAUGCUGAAGCAGAUGAUCAAGAGAGGAAAAGAAGAGAGAGAUAGAGGAGAAAGGUGAUAAGAAAAGAAAGAAUGGUGGAGCCUGUAAAGGCGAGAGCUCUAAAAAACCGAUUAUGGUAAAAGAUAGAUUCUCUAUUGCAAAUGAAAAUAGUUUAUAUAUGAUCUUUAUUACAGCGUAUGAAAAUGUGUCGAAAUGUUACCCUUAGCUUAUAGUAUAUGCUACUUUUAGAUCAGACGAGAUUCUCUGUCCAUUAUAUCUAUCUAUUUUUCUUGUUCAAUACAAAACUAUGUAGUUCCAUUUAUUAAUACUGUUGAUGUAGCACAUAACAUUGAAUGCAUAUUUAGGGGGUGUUUGGUAAAUGGGUUUCAAAUUCAAUAAUAUUCAUAAAUAAUGUUUGUUUAUGCCUAAUUGUACCCAUAAUCUUCUACUUUGGAAUUUCACGCCACAUAAUUCAGAUGAGAUUAGACAAGUAUUUGAGGAUGAGAUCCUUGAAUUUAUCAGAGGUACAGUUACGUGCAGUCAUGUUGAUUCAGAAAGUAAGCCGUCCAUGCUAAAAUUGAAAUUGAAACUCAUUUACCAAACAUCACCUAAAUAUGCAUUCAAUGUUACUUAUCACAUCAGCAAUAUUAAUAAGUGGACAUCUAACUUCCAAGUCCCCAUAAAUGUUAUUAAGAAUGACGCGUUGUGCAACGGGUAGAUAGAACUGAAAAAUGAAUCAUACUAGUUAAUACUUGAAUAGAGUUCGUUUUGAUAAAAACUCAUUUAAGUUUGAUUUGCUAAUUAGUCAAAUUAAACUUGAAUAGCAUUUAUGUUCAAUAAUAUUUAAAUUGAUUAAAAAAGCUUGUUCAAAAUCGAUUUGGUAAAGAAACAAAUCAAAUUUAAACAAAAUUUUAAACUCGUUAAAAUAAUCGAACAAAUUUAAACACUAGGAUGUUCAGUUUAAUAAGUCUCGUUUUCUCCCCGACGGAUAGGAAGCUUCCAUGUUCUUGGCUAUUGGUUUAACGUGCAAGAGAGCUUGAGUGAUUACAAGCUCAACUUGCAAGAAACAAAGGUUUAACGUGCUCCACCUCGCAACAAGGAUUCAAACUCGAAGUGUCCAGAGGUCCUACAAUUUUACCUGUAGAUCCAGAAUGUCGUGCUAGAGCAAGGCAGUUGAAGGGCUUAGCUACCUAUUGGCAAAAAAAUUUUACAUUUUCUGAGAAUAUUUCUUUUGUAUAUUUUUCAACCACUUUUUAUUUUAUAUACAUCACACUUUAAAAUGUGCUACGCUAAUAUUUCCUCAGAAUCUCUUAAAAAAUUACAAUUUAGACAACCUCUUUGUCUUUUUCUUUAGAUGCACUUAAAUGUUGCGCGGCAGCAGGUAACAUUAUUGGAGACGAAACUCAGUAAAAAAAUCCGUUAGCUUUAAUACCAGCAUAAAUAGUUAAAUGCAAGGUCAUUUAUUCCAUUCUACACUCUCUUAAUACAAAUUACUACUUAUAUAUCUGAAUCAAUUUUCCGAAGUCUAAAUACUGAUCUCAGUGCUGAUUUAAGCAUUAGAGCCUUCUCCAGGCACAAAAGUCCUGUUGUUUGUUUGAAUUUAUACUUGGUAUUUGAACACCUGCUGCUGCAGGCUAUAUUCAUCAAAAUGAGUACAUCUUCAAAGAAGUUCAAUAUUAUCACCUCCAGCUGGAUCAAGAGCUUUAGUUGUUUUAUCUAGACUGCUCCAGCGAGGACUCAUCUAUCAUAUCUGAAUUUGCUCAUCUUUUUAGCAUCAGCAUCAGAAAGGUUUUAAAUGGCUGGUUAGGAAUCUGGUAAAAUUCAAGGGGGGAAGAGACCAGUAACAAGUGGUAACGAAACAGCUAUGACAUCAUUAUAUAUGCAGCUCAUCAGCGUAACCAUGAGAUCAUUCAGCAAUAUGCUAAAUGAAAUUCCACAUAAUCAUGAGUUGAGGAAUUUGAUGCACUAAACACCAGUAAGUGGAUAGUGUAUUUUUCCACGGACCCCAUAUUCUUCCAGGGCUAAUGCUUUAUUCAACGUUAAUCACAUUGCUGGUAAUCAGAUAUCUUCCAAGGCAAUUGCUUUGAUGUUCAGAUAAGGUUUAGUUACAUCGCUAAAUUUCUCUAAAGAGUUCAAUUUUCCAAGUAUAAGGAUUGGCUUCUUAUUUUUGACCUUUCAUCCCAAAUUUAAUUUUGUUAUUAGUAGGAGCAAAUUAGUCCAAAGAUUAGUUUUGCUUUUAAUAGAGGUAAAUUAGUUUGCAAUUUAGUUAGGGAUAAUUUCAGAUACCUCCCCUGAGGUUUUUGAUAAUUUCACUGAUCUCCCCUAAGAUUUGACAAAUUAUACCUACCUCCCUUGAUUUGAUAGUUUUAGUAACAAAGCCUUAAAAUAAUAUUGACUUGGUCAAAUUUUUGUCAAAUUUUUAAAUGAAUACCAAAAAAUGUCCUUGUUAAUAAGUUUUAAUUCAUUUUGCUGUACAAUUAUAUGAUUAUCUAGUAUAAUUAUAAGAAAAAUGUGCCAAAAUUUUCAUGUACAUACCUACUAUUUGAUAAAUAACUAUAAUAAUAAGAAUUAAUCUUUUAUACACUAACAAUGUAUACACUUUCAUCAUUUAUUCAAAUUUCAAUUUGAAACCCAAAUUUUGCAUAUGUAUCACGCAUUCAAUUGUAAUAGUGUAUACACUUUCAGUGUAUAUCAGAUUUACUCUAAUAAUAAUUUUAUCACUAUGAUAGGAUACUUUUGAUGGUAUUUUAUAAUGGAUUUAGAUUUAUAAGAUAGAAAAGAAAAUAUUGAAAUAAUUCAUUUAGAGUUUAUAAAUUUUUUGAAUAGUGAGAUUAUCGUAAUUUAGUAGUGAUUUUUGGCAAUUUAUUUUUGAUUUAUUGUUAAUUUUAAUACCAAAAAAAUAGAAAAAAAGAUUAGUAAAAACAUUGGAUUAUAUAUAAGUUAACUCAUCAAAAAAAUUACUAGUUUGACAUUUGGUUACAAUAGAAACUAGAGGGAAUAGUAGUAGUUCUACAAUUUUAUUGGCAAAAAAAAAAUGAAUAAGAACAAAAAAUAACAAAAAAUAAUUUUAAAAGUCAUUCUAAGUAUAAGCAUACCAAACAAGGGAAUUUUAUUAAAAUAUUUAAGAGUAGUAUUGUCAUUUUAGAUGAUAAGGGAAGUAUGUGUAAUUUUUAAAAGCUCGAAAAAGCUAAAUGAAAUUGUUAAAUACCUCAAGGGAGAUUUCUGAAAUUAUUCCAUUUAGUUAUGUUAUGAGUAGGGCAUAUUAGUCAAAAACAUAUAGUUUUGUUAUUAGUAGGGGCAAAUUAAUUCAAGAUUUAGUUUUGUUAUUAACUGGGACAAAUUAGUUGUGUUAUUAGAAGGGGCAAAUGAACCCAAAACUUUGUUAUAUUAUUAAUUGGAACAAAUUAGUCCAAAAUUUGGAUUAUGUUAUAGUGAGAGAGUAGGGUUAUAUAGUUGCUAAAAUAAAGUUUUUUUUUUUUUUGUAGGGAUAAACAAGUCUGAAAUACUACAAACCCACCUCCGACUCAUUCAGGGAUAACUGAUACCAUCUGUUGCAUAGAAUUAUUUUAUAACCUUCAUAUCAUUUAACUGUUUAACGUAUAUUCCCCUUUUGUAUAAAAGUAUUCUGUUACAAAUGAAAAUUAAAUAUUUAUAAAAGCAUUUUGCUUUCAAUUAAUAAUUUCUUUCGGUGUUUCAAUGCAUAUUAAUAUUUUCUAAUGAACAAAAUACUUAAAUAACAUUAAUUAUCAUAAGUAACUAAAAAACUUAUUCAGUAUAAAUAUUUCAUGGAAUGUCUGUAAUUAUUUACGUCUAUAAUUGUGUAUUCAUCUUCUAGAUAAAAAAAAAUGAUUUUUAAUAAGAAAAAUAUAAUAACAUAAUUCCCUUAACCUGAAACUCUCAAGGCACUAUGCAAGUGAGAGCGUAAUUGUUUUUUCACACCUAGAAUAUAAACUAAGCGUUCGACCAUUUAUCUUCAAGGUACAAUUUGCAUGUUUUCUAAUUAUAAGUGGCAACUUGCUACUCGCCAAACAUUAUAAGGGGGCAAUUUGCAAUUAAGCCAAACAUGCAGGUGUAACACCUAGUGCAUUUAUGGAUCAGGGUUCCUUGUGACACCACCAGGUACAGAGCAAAUACUAACUCAAGAGACUUAAACACUGAUAUAACAAAUAUAGAGACUGAUAUAAUAAAUAUAGACACUAAUAUAUCAAAAAUACAAUAAAAUUGUUUGACCCACUAAAAUUAGUGUCCUCCAUCUAACUUCCACUGUCCAAUUCUAAAAUAUCCCAUCUCAACCAUAAAAGGCAGUUCAUGGAACCUUGACCCGUGCACAUACACAGGUAGCCAUCGCGAAUGAGUGUCCUAGGCUCCUGCAAGUUGAUCUGAACCUAUGUCCAGUUACGCAUAAUACUUGUUACUUAUUGGAGAGUUUCUUAGUCAGCAGUCAAGAUCCAUGGCUAAAUCAUUUCGCAGACCAAUUAAGUUUGUGCGUAUUGGAUCACAGUACCUUCCUCGAAAGAGUGCGCUGAAACUGCAUUUGAUUUUAAAAGAAAAGAUUAGCCCAUGAUGGGAUCAGCAGGUACAGAUAUCUCCAUUAUUUAUUGCAUCUUGACAAAGCAGAAGGUUAACUAUCUGAGGCACCGUUUCGAUUGGAGUAAAAGAAGGGAAAAGACUCGGUGAAUAUGCGCCAGUGCCGGCGGCCGAGUGAGUGGUGCCUUAAGACUACCCAGCAAUUUCCUCUCACUUACCUGAAUUAUGAAAUAACGUUUGUGGGGAACCAAAAGUUGAUGGCUACAGAAGGGUAAGCUACAAGCAUGGAAUGCUAGGAUUUUCAACAACCCGUUGCCGUUGGCUGAGAUUGCAAUACUGCUGGCAAAUAAACUGCUGCAAGCAAAGAAUUCUAUAAUUCCUGAUUUCACAGUAAAAAGGAAAAUGGAUAGAAGAAACUAAUGAUGUUGUUUCUUUUAAUCGGGGGUCAAAUAUAUCCGAAAGAACUUCGAUAGGGAUUUCAUAAGGCAGGAAAAAGAUUCGAAGCCUAGAACUUUUCCAAACACUGCAUGCUAGUCUGCACCUUGUUAUUGUUUUAAGUACAAGAAUUGAUGCUCAGUUAAUUGUGCCAAAUGCUAACUUGACUCAAAAUCCAUAUUUCUCUUCCAGCUUGCUUAACCGUUUUAUAAAUGCCAGAAAUUUGUCAAAAUAUGCAAAAUCUGAAUUACAACAAAAUUGGGCAAGAUUUCAGUACAUACUUUAAUUGCACGUAAGAAUGUAAAAGUGCAUGCAUGUAUUUCCCGCACUUGAAAGUAUCACUCCACAUGGUAUAUCGAAUUAUAUAUACGAAGACAAAUCAUAGAAGAAGGAGAUUGUUAGAAGGUCUCCACGACGGGUCCGAGUUGUACACGUCCAAUCCCAAUCCAAUCCUUGACACACUCGGAUUCCCAUAGAAUCCAUUGUGGAAGGAAGGAAAAAAGAAAACAAGUAGAGAAACCCUCAAAUUAAUAUCACAAAAUCAUACCCUACCUACCAAGAUCAAUUCAACUUUAGGUCCUAUUUAAUUUCUCAAUUCAGCACUUAAAUUUAACGAAUUUAGAUCUUAAUUUAUUUAGAUGCAUUUGAUUAUUAAAAAUAAAGUAUCUAAAUAAGUGUCACUGAAUUUUUUAGAUGAAACUUGUUCCGAAAAAAAAAAAAUGAAGUCAUCAGUUAUUCACUUAUUAUUUAAUGUGAUAUAUACUCAAAUGUAUUAGAUUUAGUAGUUAACAAUUUCGUAACUUAAUAGAAUAGACUUUAGAUUUCAGUUUUCAAACUUCAUUUUAAUCAAACACACCCUAAGAGAGAGAGGGGAUGAGUUGGAUGUUAUGGAGGUAAAGAUUGUUAAUAAGACGUUCCAGAUUUGAAACUUUUUACCUAACCAAAAAAAAAAAAACUAAGUCUAUAAAUAUGGACUCCUCGUUUCUAAGCUUCCCAUUCCUCAUCUCUAUCAGUUCUACUAUUCCAUACUUACUGAGUUCAAUUUGCUAUAGUAGAUAGAUACUUUUUAAUUUAUGGGCUUUAGAAGUAGUAUGAAUUAUUACUACGCAGCAUUUCUUUGCACCACAGUGCUCUUACCCGCAGCACUAUGCUACUACGGUGGAGACUACUCUAGAGCAACCUAUUAUGGCCGCCCUGAUUUCUUAGGGACACCAAGUACGUGUUUCUUUAAUUUUAUUCAUUUGUGAUUUGCCAGCCCCUCUAGGCUAUAUCACAAAUAUUUUCUGCUCAUGCUUAUCAUAGAUAAAUGGUGUAUACUAUCUAAUGUAGCUAAACCAGUUAGAGUUACUUAAUUCAUCAUUAUCUCCGUUUUCCCUCUAGUUCUGAAUAAUCAUCCUUUAAAAAAAAAAAAGCCAUGAAUGUUUGUUACUACAAAAUUGCUACUUGUGUCCUGCGUUCAAAACCUGUUUAUAUAUAUAUUGAACACUCUUGUGAAGGAUUUUUUUCCCCUAGCAAAAUCAGAAUUUAUGGUUCAUCAAUUUGAAAUUUAAUUGUUUAAAUUGGACUAAUUUAAUCAGCUGGAGCUUGUGGGUUCGGUGAAUAUGGGAGAUUUGUCAACGAUGGUCGGGUUACUGGAGUGUCCAGGCUUUAUAGGGGUGGCUCUGGAUGUGGUGCAUGCUAUCGGGUAAAGUCUUCCUAGCCAUUUUUGUAUCAUCAUUAACGUUUGAAGGCAAUAAUAAGCCAUCAAGUGUGGAGAACAAGCACCUAUAUAAAUAAGCAAUUCACCCAAUUAGAUUAGAAAUCAAAUAAAAAUGCAUUGCUCUUAAAAAAGCAACAUCUAAUUAUACAAUUUGAUGUGUUCAAUUAUUGCAAUUAAUUUCACGAGUGCAUGAAAGUGAUGUGGCCUUUUUUAAAUUAAUUUCUUUUUUCAUUUAUUGAUUUGAAUUGGCAAACCAAGUAGAUAUAUGUAAACUGAUCCAUGCCUCAAUAAUGACGAUGCAAUUCAAACUUCCCUUAAUUUUCCUUCCUGUUGAUUAAGGUCAUUAACGAGAGUAUAUAUAUAUAUAUAUAUAUAUUUAUAUAUGUUCGUUGAGAAUUUCAGGUAAGAUGCACCAUUCCAGAAGACUGUAGUGAAGAGGGAACCAGGGUAGUAGUGACUGACUAUGGUGAAGGAGACAAGACAGAUUUCAUCCUCAGUCAAGCUGCCUUCGAAAGUUUGGCUCGUCCUUACAAGGCUCAACAUCUUUUUGCCUACGGUGUAGUUGGUGUAGAAUUCAAGAGAGUUCCUUGUCUGUAUUAUCGAAGGUUUAUAUUCCUAGUCCUGCCACAGAGCAGGUACCCCGCAUAUUUGGCCAUUGUACCAUUGUACCAACCUGGUACUUUCGACAUUAUUGCUAUCGAAAUAUUCCAGGUAAAUAUUCGAGUAUUUGAACAGCAAGCAAAUUCAUCAAGAAAUUAAUCUUUCAUACAUUAAAAUUUUAUUUAUUAUUUUUUUUUUUUACAUUAACAAGCUUGGAUGUAUGUCAUAUAUCCAAUACGGCUAGAGUGAUAAAAAAAAAAAAAAAACUUUAUACUCACACUGCAAGAGAAAUUAGCCCACACAAUGCAUUGAACGCUUUGAAACAAUAAAAUUUGUCAAGCAUAUAUAGAGCAUGCAUGCGGGGAUGCUUGUUUGGAUUAAUUAAGAAAACGACUUGUGAUUGAUUUUGCUGAGUUUGAUGCAGGCGGAUCGCGGUGAAUGGAGGCCAAUGCGGAGGGCUUAUGGAACAGUAUUUGAUAUAACAGAAGCUCCAUUGGGUGUAAUAACCUUGAGGUACAAAUCUGUGGACUAUGGAGAUCCCGAGUCUUGGGUGCAAUUGAACGAAGUGAUCCCUAGUGACUGGAAAGCUGGACACGCGUAUGAGAUUGAGAUUCCAGCAUGAUAGUUUAAUCUCUCAGAAACUCAGGAUUAUCGUACGUAUGAUCCGUCUCUGCAGCCACAACUUAUGAGCUGCUUUUGGAGUAGUACGUAGUAUUGCUGUUGGAUGUUUUCACUUGUGUACUGUUUUGUACUGCUGUUUCAGAGACCAUAACCCUCAUACAUAUAUGGUAUUGCUGCAGGAUGUUUUCACUGUGUACUGUUUUGUAACGCUGUUUCAGAGACCAUGCCCCUCACAUAUAUAUGGUUCUUUUAGGGCAUGUAUAAAUCUCCCCAGCUGUACGUCUUUGUUAGUAACCAUGGAUAUCAUAAAUAAAAUCUAAUCUGUGAAGUGAUUCUAUAAAUAACUAAGUGUGUUUUAUUUUACUGUACUAUGACCUUGUUCUCAAAUGCUCCUGAUUAUGUAAAAACUGAGUCAGGAUUUUUUUUUUUUUAAGAAAAAAAAACCACCAAAGAUAGAUAUUUCUAAUUUUCAAAUUUUUUAGGCUACCAAGAAAAAAAAAAAAAUCAAAGUCAAGAAUUAAAUAAACAGUUGAGAGCACAAAAAAAAUUCAAAAUCAAAAUCGCCCUCCUCAAACUCUCUGUGAAUGCCUGCCAAGCACCGAAUGGCCAGGUAACGAAUGAAAUAAUUUUUAAUGCUUUUUCUAAGAAUGAAAUUGAAUUUUUUUUAAAAAAAAAAAUGAAGUUUUCUGGGCAGUACAUGGGAAGCAUCAACCCAGCUUUUGAACGUCAGAAUUAACCUCUUUUUCCCAUUAUGUAGUAAAUGAUUUUGAUCUCAUAUAAUGCAAUUUAGAUAUAAGAGCAGGAGAGCCAAGGGAUUUCUUCGUGUAAUUCAUGUUGCUUUUCUUUUUCUUGGUGUAAUUCAGUAUAAGAUACUCUUAGGCCCUUUAAAUUGUCAAGUUGUUCUUCUACAUUUGGGGGCGGAAGAAAAAAAAAAACAAACAUUUCCAUUUCUGUACAUAUCGACGACAGGUUUAGUCCAUUCACCUAUCGAGUCUAUUCUAGUAGAUAGAAUGUCGUCUUUAUCGCUAAUAAGCUUGAUUGCCGAGGACGUGUCACCCUGCAAGAUAAAGCUUGGAAAUUGGAAUCCUUAAGAGUCUUGGCAAGAUAGACCGCUUCUUUAGAUAUAUAAAGCUUCGACUAGUUCUGCUUUCACAAGGCCCUCAUGUCGCUUAGUUCUUAGACAGUAAACUGGCAAUGAACGCACCUUCGUGGCUGCGAAUGAGGACUCCCAAGACCAAAAACCUUUGAGCACGUGGAAACAGAAGCAGCAAAAUUGAUCUUAAAAUGAGGUGCAGGUGGGGCAUGCAGACUAUCAAAGACAAUCCUGUUGAACUUGGGUAGAGACCGGAGGUGAAUUUGCUGCACGAAAGUCUGCAAGAUUAUGAAAUGGAAAGUUGACUGAUGACAGAGGCUGCUUGAUAGAAGUGCAUCAUCACAAGUGUUACAAUCACAUUAUUGUGUUUGUGAUUAAUAUGAAUGGUAAACAAUUGUUACUUUUGCAUUUUUCGGAAAAGUCUUUGUCAUGAGACAACUUUCUUAAAGUGGCUUAAUGUGACAAUCCUCAUCUUAGGAACUCCACCGGCAGAGACAGAUUACAAGUGGCAAAGAAUAAUUAGUGAACUAUACAGCAUAAUCAUCAGUAGAUAUUUAAGUAAUUUAACGUACCAAACACUAUUAUGGUAUUUUAGUGCCGACCCUUUAUUCCUAAGUAAAAAAAUUAAUAAAGGUCUCACAAUUACAAUGGUUGUAAUUAAAGUGCCAGUUGCCCUUUGUGCCCUUUUGUCUUAGGAAAUUAGCGAAAGUCAUCACAUUGUAAGAGUAGCUGUUGUAAGCAUAAUUCAAAGUCGCGGUCGUUGUGCAGACCUUUCUACAUUAAUCUCAGCAUAUUGGUCGUGAUUUCGAUAAGACGUAAAUUUUUGGAAUAUUUAAUAUUCUAAAAAUUGUAAAAAAAAUAUGAUAAACAAAACUAAUAAAAAUUUGAGUUGAUUUGAGAUAACUCGGGUGACUCGACCGUUUCUAUCCAUCUCAGAGACGUCUCGAUCGAGUUCUCGGCGAUCCAUUAAGUCGGAGUCAUCUCGUCCUGGUAUCAGAAUAGAAAGUCCCACUCCGACGAUGACUCAGCCGAGACCGAGACAUUGUAAGAGUAGCUAAGAUAUAUAAGUUCUACAAAGCAAAAUCAGAAACUGAAUGUUAAUUCUCUAUAUAUAAUUGCCCUACUAAUGUUCACCUACUUUCAUAUUUGCCUCUGCUUUUGGUUCAGGAGGAAACUAUUGAAUGGAAGCCAAUGAACAGAGCCUAUGGAGCUGUAUUUGACAUAUCAAACCCAUAUCCAGGAGCCCUGACGUUGAGGUUCCAAGUGACUGCCUCUGCAGACCACAAUUACUAGGUGCAACUAAAUAAUGUGCUCCCAAGUAAUUGGGAUGCUGGAAUUCCGUAUGAUACCGGCAUUUCCUCUCUUGAUUAAAUCUCAAUGACAUUGAACACCGUAUUUGUGUAAUCAGGACCUAAAAUAAUUUAAGUUCGAGGACAAAUACGUGUCAUAUGCCUUGUCCAAAUGCAUUGAGUGCAAUGGUCUGAGGUCCACUUUUAAGGGUUUGCUAGGAAUUUCAAUUCAAAUCAGAUCUAGCUGUCCCGAACUGUACAUAAUCACAGUGUUACUGCAGAGCACUAUAUCUCAUUGUGUGUCUAAUCAAUAAGAAUUAACACCUUAAUUCAUGUUAAAUUUGUUUCUUUUCAUAAAAGAAAGAAAACUUUGAAUCAUGAGAAAUUGUUUGAGCGGCUUAAUGCAUGGGAUGGUCCAGUGGCUGGUUAGAAAUCUGGUAAAAUUGAAAGUGGGGAAAGAGACAAGUAACAAGUGGAAACGAAACAAUCAUAAUUACUUAAGUGUAUAUGCAGCUCAUCAGCGUAACGGUGACAUCAUUCAGCAGUUUGCAAAAUGAAAUUCUAUCAUGAUUUGAGAUAUUUUGCAAUUCAAAGCACUAAACACUAGUAAGUGGAUAAUGUACUUUUCCACCAACCCAAUAUUCUAAGAUUUUAGUGCUUUAUGCAGCGUAAUUACAAUGCUGGUAAGUUAACACCUUCCAAGGCCAAUUUGCUUUGAUGUUCAGAUAAGGUUUAGUUACAUUGCUAAGUUUCUCUGAAGAGUUCAAUUUUAAAGUAUAAGGGUUGGCUUCUUAUUUCUGAACUUUCAUCCCAAAUACAAUUGGCUUUAAUUGAACCCAGACUGUGAUUGGACAAAUUAAUAUGGAAUGUAACAUGGGUUCAUCCAUUCUUUGCAAAAGUUGUUUGUUUUCGAGUAUUCUGCUGCUUUUGGUUGCAGAAUCCCACAGCCAAGGAAUUGUCUCAAGAGCAACCUAUUAUAAGUCCUCUGAUGGCUUUGGAACUCCAAGUAUGCUUCAUCUCAUUUAAUCACCUUAUAUAUAACGUUAUUGUACAGAAAUUUAUUUUCAGCUUCAGAAUGCUAUUAUUUACAUUGCGGAUCAUUGUCCACAAACCUCAGUUGUUACAGAAAAUAAGUAUUAGUCCUGUGGUUGAAUGAAUCAGCUGGAGCUUGUGGAUAUGGAGAAUAUGGGCGUAAAAUCAAUGGUGGUCGAGUUACUGGAGUUUCCAAGCUCUACAGAAAUGGAGCUGGUUGCGGAGCAUGUUAUCAGGUUAAUCUUCUCUAGCAAGAACAGACAAUUUCUUAAUCCUAAAACAUAUUCCCAAUUACUACUUCCUUUUUUUCGUUUCAGGUCAAGUGCAAGGUACCACUUUACUGCAGUGAGGAUGGAACCACGGUGGUGGUAACAGAUCAUGGUGAAGGUGCACAUAUUGCAGACUUUGUCUUGAGUCAAAAUGCAUUUGCAGAAAUGGCACUUCCAGAUACGGCUUCAAAGCUCUUCUCAUAUGGAGUAAUUGGGGUAGAAUACAAUAGAAUCCCAUGUCUCUAUGAUGCCGAUUUGCUUCUAAAAGUCCACGAGACUAGCAAGUAUCCUGUUUACUUGGCCGUGUUGUUGUUGUUCUUGCCUGGUGCAGAUGAUAUCACUGCAUUCCAAGUCUGGCAGGUAAAAAUUAAGGCUUAAGAAAACUACACAAUCUUAAUUCGAAUAAACUAAGUGGGACUAUUGUAAUUGACUCAAACCUUAACGCAUGUCACUAAAUUUUGAUUGCGCUUUAGAAAGUUCAAAAGAAAAAAGGUUUUAUCUUACUUGUUUUGCAUUUCUUCAACAAAUUCUAGAAUUUUCAUCAACAACAGAGUUUGAAUCAAAUUAUGGAGUAUCAAUGGGAAUAUGCAAUUAUGCAUCAUGUCCAACAAGGUUGUUAGGAUUAAAUGUGCCAGUUGCCCCUUACUGUGCUUUUGUCCCAUGGAAAAUUUCAAAAAUUACGACAUCCUAAAAGUCUCUCCAGUUAAAGAUCUACAAUUUAAAAAAAAAAAAAAAACUGAAGAUUAAUUUUCUAUAGAUCAUUACCCUUUUAAUCCCUGCAUACUUUUAAUUUGCUUUGUCCUUUUGGGUUAGGAGGAAAGCAAUGAAUGGAAACCAAUGCAUAGAGCCUAUGGAGCUGUAUAUGACAUAACAAAUCCACCACUAGGAGCCUUGACCUUGAGGUUCCUAGUGACUGUCUCUGCAGACUACAAUUAUUGGGUGCAACUAGAUAAUGUGCUUCCAACAGACUGGGAAGCUGGACUCACUUAUAACACUGGCAUUUCCUCUUAAUUAGAGCUCAAUGACAUUGAACUCUAUGUGUAAUUAUGCAUGCAAACACCAUCCAAAAUAAUCAAGCGCUUCUUCAACAUUUUACUAUAACUAAACAUGUUCUUGUACUUUGUUAAUUAAGUAGAAGCAUGAUAUUCAAGAUUUAUUCUUGCUACACAUAUAUAUUUCUUUCUGUAAUAUUUGUUUGGUGCUGAAAUUGUAAAUUUGUAAAUUGGAGGAGCUACUUGCAGUUGUCUUCUUUGGGUUAGGCUAACAGGCGUCAUUAGGACAUUCGUUAAGAGGGUCUUACAUAUUAAUUUUUGACAAAAAGUUAAAUUAAUUUAGAAAAUUGUCGGGCGGAUUAAAUAUGAGUGAAUGUAUUCACAUAAUAAAUUAUGUGUAAUUUAAGUGAAAUAAUGAGUGUCGAUCUUUAAAAAAACAAAAAUCUUUCUUCCUUUUUAACUCGGAUGAUUUCCAAUCACUAUCUGUAUAGUACAUGUAAGUAAUCUAAUCCUUCUUUUUUGUGGCUCGCAAAACUCACAGAAAUAGAAAAAAAAAAAAAGUGGCCCCAUCAAUGUAGAAAAGAAAAUUAGGAGUUUCAUUAAAUUUUGUCUCCUAAAAUAAGUCUUUGGUAUCUUUUACAAGUAACUGAAAAAAAAACGUAACUGGUUUUAAGAACAAAAGUUAUGAAUUUUAAUUUAAAAAAAUUCCUCCUAGAACGAAGCCAUUGUGCAUGAACCAUUGAUGUACUCAAACUAAACAGUAGAAGAAUAUCUUCGUCCAACAUAAGAGAAAGAAAUACCAAUUUAAUUAAGUAUACUAGUGCUUCACCCGGGCAUUUACACGGCACUUUUUAUGUUCUAAAGUUUUUAUUUUUUGAAUAAAAAUUGAUAUAAAAUAACCUAAAAAUACUAUUUUAUAAAAUUUAAUAUAAUAACUGUAAGACAAAUAUUUAAAUUCAAUAGAUUAAAAAUAGUUAAUUCAUAUUAACUUAAUAAUUAGUUUCAAUAGAAUCUUAUCCCAUGAUUCAAUUAUGUUUACUCUAAUUAAUGGUGGCAUGUCAACAUAUAAUAAAGAAGAUUUAUUAGGAAAUAAAUGCACUUAAUGUUUGAUUUUUUUGCCACCAAAAAUUUUUUUUAAAGCAAACUAAUAGAUAAUGAACUUAUUAUUAAAUCAAAUUAUUAAAAAUUAACAAAAGAAAAGUAAUUUAGGAGAAAUUUUACAAUCUUGUGUUUACAUGGAUACCAUUUUAGCCUACAUUGAAUUCUAUCGAAAGGAAGCAUAAAAAUGAACAGAAAAAAAAUUUUGGAAUAGAAUGACUAUUUAUAAAAUUUAGGUGGACAUGUAUGAGUAAUAUGCUAAUACUAACCCAAACCCAGUUAAUGAACCCAAAUCAGUUCCAAUCCAUCUGCGGGCAUGGGCCAGGUCCAUAAUUACACGUUUCGUACUCCAUUGUGUAAACUUAGUAUUUCUAAAAUUUCCACUUCCAACUUAGGAGUUAGGACGCAUUUAAUAAAACUAAAAUGGGAAAUUUGUCAAAUUGGUUCCUAACAUUUGCCAAAAAACUUUUUUAGUCUCUAAUAUUUAAAAUCAGUCAGAAUUGUCCCUAACAUUUAAAUUAUGAUCCAUUUUGGUUCUAAUGCUCGUAUUUACUCAUUUCUCCAACUGAAAAUAGCACGCCUCUCUCAUGUGGGCAUAUUUUCAAGGGCAAAUAUUGAAAACACACUUCAUUUCCGGUUUUCCUUCAUAUUUUCUCAGUGAAAAUAUGAAGAAGAAGCUGACAUAUUAAACACAUUGCUAAUAAAAAAUUCAUUACAUAACUCUCAAUUUGAGGCAGGAGAGGGGAAAGAGGGCGGCGCUACUGUUACAGCUAGUAAUAUGAGUCAGGCUCAAUUAGAGCCCUAGGAGGCAAAGGCAAGUAUAGCCAAGGCUCCAAAGCUUGGAUUUUUUAUGACAAUGGUUUUAUUGGUGGUUAGAUAGUGCCCUAUGAGGUGAUUAGGUGGGCGGCCAGGUUGAUUGAGAAGACGGGGCCAAAUGAAGUUGGAAAAUUGGUUGAGAAAGCAGGGGCUAGGUCAAUUGCAUGCUAGUGGGGACGGAACAAGAAUUGCAAAUGAAGAGGGAGAAGGGAGGAAGGAAGAUGAGGAUACAGGGGUGGGAAGUGAUGCGGCGGAGUUAGAGGUGGUGGGAGGUGCGGGUAGAGACUGUCGAUGCUGGUGGUUAUUUCGCGGUGGUAGUGAAGAAAGCUUUGAACAUUGUCUCUACUACUGGCCUGGUAAGUAGGCCUGUCAACGGGUCGGGUCUAAACCCGGAUCCGGAUCGAAUUCGUGAAAUUAUUGUGGGUAUGGGUAGGGAUUUAAUUCCGUUUCCCGGAUCCGGAUCCGUUUUGUCAAACAAAAAAACAGGUCGGAUACGGAAUAUAGUAUUCCGACCCGUAUUAGACCCGGAUCCGGAUAUAAAUGAAUUAAUAAUUUAAAAAAUAUAUAUUUAUCAAUAUAAUUUGAUUAGGGUGAUGUAUUUUAAUAAAGUUAAUUUGAUUUCUUUUCUUAUUUGGUUUUUUCUUUGCAUUAGUUAGAAAUUAGUUUACAAAUAUAUUUUUUUCUCAUUUUUAUUAGAAAUUAUAAAUUUUGGUAAAUUUGUUCGGGUAGACCCGGAUCCGGAACAUAGAAUAAAAGACCCGUUGGAUAAACGGGUCGAAUCCGGAUCCGGUAUAGUAAUUCGGGUCCGGGUCCGGAAUAAUGAAUUUCGACCCGGACCCGGCCCGUUGACAGCCCUACUGGUAAGUGUGACAUAUUUGGCCAACAAGUACUUGGAUCAAAAUGUCAGCUUCUUCUUUAGAUUUUCUUGCUAUUCUUCCUCCAUUACACAGCCGUCUAGUUGCAGCUACAUUUUUCCUCUUCAAUUUUGUUCUUUUAGUGAGGUAAUUAGGACACAAAUAGGGAAAUAUGAAGAAAAGAUAGCUUUACUCAACCAGAAAUGAAGUGUGUUUUUCGAUUUUACCCUUGAAAUAUGCCCACAUGAGAGAGGCAGGCUAUUUUCAGUCGGAAAAAUUAGCAAAUACAAGCAUUAAGACCAAAAUGGAUCAUAAUUUAAAUGUUAGGAACAAUUUUAGCUGAAUUUAAAUGUUAGGGACUAAAAAAGUUUUUUUGAAAAAUUUUAGGGACCAAUUUGGCAAAUUUCCCAACUAAAAUUUGAAAACUGAAAUUCAAAGUCUAAAAUCUGAAUUCAUUAAGUUAUUAAAUUGUUAAAUACUAAUCUGAUACAUUUAAGUGUAUAUCAUACUAAAUGAUAAGUAAAUAGUUUAUUACUUAUUUUUUAAAAUAAGUUUUGCUUAGAAAAUUUAUUACCAUUUAAUUAAGUCAGAUGUUUUAUUUUUUAUUAUCAAACGCGUUUGCAUAUACUAAGAUUUGAAAUCAUGUUGGAAAAGAAAUCAUACAAAAGAAUGAACGAGAUAUUCAGCCCAACUGCACAUCGAAACCAAAACAAUCUGUAAAGAACAAAAGCCCACAAACUUUAUAAGGAAUGAAGUUUCAAAUAGUAUUCUCUUGCCAUUGCUUUGGCAAUUAAGUUGGUUGACAAAUUAUUUUGCAAUGACAACUGCUUUUGCUAGCCGUAUAAGGUGCACAAUGACAGUCUCGAAGCAAAUAAAGGAACGGUGGAAAAAUCUCUUUCCCUAUAUUAAAACAGUCUUGAUCGCCAGUUGUUCCGCACCCACCGUCUUUCUUGAAUUCAGUUGGGCAAAAUUGCCCAGUCCCUAUCAUAGGCAAGAAGGGAUAAAGAACAUUAGAAUAAGAAUUACGAUACAUUUAACUAAAGAGGGAGAAUGAUAUUCCUACCAAUAGAUUGUGUAGAAGGCAUGACUUGGCUCGGUAGAAUUGCCAAAUGCAGAAGUAAAAACAUAGUUCCAAGAUUUAUGGCAGUUGAUUUUGCCAUUGAGACAAAAUUGUUGUGGAAAUGAUAGCCGAUUCUUGUUUUUGCACAAAACUGGCUGUCCAAUUUAUAGGAGUAGGUCUCCUUAUCUUUACACCCUUUUAGCUCUGGGAAAGGCAGAACAUAUAGCAGUUAGUUGCGUGUCAUGAAUAGCGUAAUGAAUGAAAAUAAAAUACAUACAUUGAUUAGGGCCCAAGUGCCUAAGAUGGAGGGUAGGUGUUAAGAUUUUGAAAAAUGAAAGUUGAGUAAGUGAAUAAAUAUAGCGUAAGGUAAUAAUUGUUAUUGUAUAUAUUCACAUUGUAAUUUGGUUAUGAUUUAAAUGUGCUAAUGCACAUCUACUGAGCACCCGUUAAAAGGUAAAAAAAAAAAUUCAAAGAUUUUGAAAAAUGAAAGUUGAGUAAGUGCAUAAAUAUAGCGUAAGGUAAUAAUUGUUAUUUUGUAUAUUCACAUUGUAAUUUGGUUAUGAUUUAAAUGUGCCAGUGCACAUCUACUGAGCACCCGUUAAAAGGAAAAAAAAUUAUACUAUAGCCCUGUAAAGAAUGAGAAUAAAGUACAUAGAUCUAUUACCAUAUAAACUUAUAGAUAACUUUCCCUUAAACUUAUAUUUUCUUUCCAAAGGUUUCACGAAUAAUAGGAUAACUUUGACCUUUUAAUUGUUAGAAUAUGAAUAGGUGUUAAGAUUUUGAAAAUUGAAAGUUGAGUAAGUGAAUAAAUAUAGCGUAAGGUAAUAAUUGUUAUUGUGUAUAUUCACAUUGUAAUUUGGUUAUGAUUUAAGUGUGCUAAUGCACAUCUACUGAGCAUCUGUUAAAAGGAAAAAAUGAUAUACUAUAGUGCUGUAAAGAAUGAGAAUAAAGUACAUACAUACUUUUCACUUGCAUCAUAAACACAUUUCUCAAUCCACCUUUUUAUAUUUUCAAUUAUCUUUUUAUCUCACAUACAUCACAUCACAAAAAGUGCUACAGUAAUUAUUUCAAAUAAUACUCUAUCGAAACAAACCCAUAGAUUCUUUGCAAUCACGGAAAUAGAGAAAAGAGGCCAUCCCAUCAAUACUAAGUUCACAUUUUGUACCCCAUUACGUGAACUUAGGGUUUGUUUGGGCAGUAGAUUAUUUGGUCAACUAUAUUUGCUGACAUCACCAUUAUAAUUUUCAAUACAGUUUUUUAUCUUCCCAAUUAUCUUUUUAUCUCACAUACAUCACAUCACAAAAAGUGCUACAGUAAUUAUUCCAAAUAAUAUUUCAAACAAUACCCUAUCUAAACAAACCCAGUACUAGUAUUUCUAAAAUUUCCGCUUCAAACUUAGGACGUGUUUAAUAAAAUUGAAAUUUGAAAAUUGAAAUUCGAAAUUUGAAAUCUUAAUUCAUUAAGUUAUUGAAUUAUUAAGUACUAAAUCUGAUACAUUUGAGUGUAUGUCAUUUUAAACUUAUCACUAAUUUUUUUAAGCAAGUUUUGCCUGAAAAAUUCAUUACUACUUAAUUAAGUUAGAUGUUCUAUUUUUUAUUAUCAAAUGCAUCGGAACAUGCUAAGAUUUGAACCCAAUAAAUUUAACCGCUAAAUUAAAUUAUCAUAUAGGACCUUAGACUCCCUUUUACUUAAAGGAGUUGUUUGGCAUAUAAUUGAAUUAAAUUGCCAAGUGCUAUAAAGAUCAGGCAAUGGUCAUGGACUAAAAUAAAAGGAAGACGCUUGGGAGUCUAAGCAAAUACCUUCAGCUGCUACUUGUUAGAGUAGAGAAAUGCAAGAAAGUUGAACCAAACAACUCCUUUAUAUUUUGUCCAAGAACUUGCAAAAAGCACUAAAAUCUUAGAAUAUCCGGUCGGUGGAGAAGUAUCUAGUUAAUGUUUAGUGCUUUAAAUUACUUAUUAUCUAAAAUCAUGCUUAUGUCAAAUAUCCUUUGGCAAAAUUGCUCAAUGAUACCAUGGUUAAGCUGAUGAGCUGCACAGUUCAGUAGCCACCGUGGUUUAGUGCUUUCAUUACCGCAUCUGUUAAUUACUUGGCUCUCUUCCCUUGAAUUUCAACAUAUGAGCUCCUUUGGUGGAAUCGUUGAUAGAACAGAAUAAUUUAUUAGAGAGGAAAGUGCAAUAUUGAAAAUCUCAAGGUGUUGAAUGAAAUCUUAAUGUAUAUCAGAGGAGACGUCUAGAAUUAUCCCUUUUAGCAUGCCAUUCUUUUAAUGAAAUUAAUAACUUAAGAUAGCAACAGAAAUUAGUGCAGUGGAGAAACUCUUAUCUUGUUUGAGUCGUAAUUUGUCUGCAUUACCCCUACUGUUGCCUGUUCAUUGUAAUAGCAUAAAAAGAGAGAGACAGAGAGAGAGAAACUCUGUCCUUUUUUUUUUAGUGUAGAUGAGAGAAUUCACCGAUCAUUUGUUCCCUUUUUACUUGAUUUUGCCAAUACAGUAGAGCAAUAUAAGAGAAAAACAAGUGAAAGGAAGAUUGAUGAGAAUAAGCUUCUUGAAGUUGAACCCAUCUCUCUUUUAUGAUUUAUCUCACUCACAAUCUUUUCUUUCUUCAGUAUUGUUGUGCCCACAUGUACGAGAAUUUUCUCCACAUAUACCACUCAAUAUGGCUAAUGAGACCCCAAAGAGUACUCUUACACAUCUUGAUUUGGAAUUAAUGUAAGGAAAGAUGUUGACAACAAACCAUUAUGAGACUAAAUGACUUACAUUCAAGGUUGUACUCUUCCACUUGAAAGCGUUGGUUGUUAUUUAUAAUGUUGAGUGAGGUGUAGAUAGUAUACUUAUCCGUCAUACUUAUCCUUCAAUGGGUUUCAAGGUCAAGAAUGGGCAUUACAAUCAAUGACGCCUAUGCCUAUAAUUUGGUAGACUACCAUGGAAAUUAUAUUUAAUCGCAUGAAAAUAUUAGAUUUUUUCUCUCUAUAAUUCCUCACGUAACUCAUUAGUUGAAUGAAACCAUUAUGGUCCAAACCAAACAGUUAAGGUAGAAUGACAAAAAUUCAAACACUUGAUAAGAUGUAGAAUUCAGAUAUCGGAAUGCGAAAUCUAAACGACAACUUUGUAUUUUAUUUUAUGCCUAAGAAUUUGGAAUUAUGGCUAGAUUGGCAGAUACAAGCUCUACAAUUAAGCACAAGAUACCCUUUGGCCCUUCGUCAUUCACCCUCUACUUAAUUUCACUUCGCGGCCUUUGUUCUUUACCUUUCUUUGAUUGAAUAGCUGUUCUAAACAAGGGGUUUUCUUUUUAAUUGGGUACUCAACUAUAUUCCACCUAAUUUAUUAAGUACAUACACAUAAUUACUAUCCUUUCUUAUAUUUAUAUAUUUUCCCUCAUUAUUUUUACCUUUCAAAAAAAUUAACAUUUGAAAUACAUCUUUACGGGUGUCCGGAACCCUUUGACAAGAUAAUAUUAGACAAAUAGCAUGAGAGUUUGAGGUGCCUUUGGGCCAUUUUGUUAAUUACCGUGUAUAGCAGCACUAGUACCUAGAAGUGGAAAUCAGGAUAGACUAUACAGAACCACAAUACUUCGACACUUAGCAAUUGAAUGAUGAGCACUGUAAAAUGCACUUGGUCUUGAGAAGGCCAAAUGGACGGCAAAAAUCAGUAGGCAACAACCCAAUACUGAGGAAAAUAUCCAAACGCCAUUUUUUGGUACAGAAAUAACACUUUGCUCUUACUUAGACUCGCAAAGUUUUUUCCUUUCAGUUCGAUCUACAGCCAUUACCUGAUCUUUAUAGCACUUGGUCAGUCAGUUCAAUUAUAUGUCAAAUUAAAGACGAUUUGCUACUAGGUUAAUCCGAUCCAGUUGUUUACAACCUUACAGCAUUUUGGUUUGAAAACGAAAGCACUAAUUGUAGUGCGUGCGUAAUAAACCUGCAAUCCUGAGAGAUUACCAGUUGGGAGGUCAAUGAAUACAGGUGUUAAUCUGCCAGUGUUUCGUCUGCCAAUAAUGAUCUAUUCUACUGUUGCUUGCAUGUUUACGUUCUUCUAGAAAUUGUAUCUUCAAGCUGUAUAUUUAUGCAGAAAAGUACCAAUAUUGAUUUACAAAACAGAAACAUCUAAUACAUGGUCCAAAUGCAAUUUCACUGCAAAUUUUCUGGUCCAAGUAAAUUUUUAUCGUGAGUGCUGUCGUUCCAAAUAUAUAGCAAUAAACUAAAACGAGUGUUCUAAUGUAAUCAAUUUAUUUGGCGAAUAUAUAGGCUGUGAUAUCGUCAAUUGAUUCCAAUUCAACCAAUAUUUGGUACCCCAUUUCAAAUCUUUUCAUGAAUUACACUAUUAUUCACAAGCGCUCUAACAUAUUAGUUAUUUUAGUAUUUGCCUUACCUUAGAAACUACUCAAAUGAUCUAGGAUUGUUAACAGAGCUGGGCUAUCUCAGAUUCAGGCCGAAACAAUAAGAUUGAGUCUUAUAUUUAACUAGAUAGAAUAGCAUUUAGAUCUAAAUAUUAGACCCAAAUUAAAUAUGAGUCGAGUCUGGACCUUAGUAAACACAGCUCAAUUAAAACCCAACCUAAAUAAUUGUGUAUUUAAGAGUGUGUGUGAGAGAGAGAGUUUGUGUGUGUAAUUUUAUACGUAUUAUAACUUAAAAAAAUCGAUAAUUUAUAGAUAAUUAUAUAAUAGUACACAAAUAUCAAACCUAAAUAAUUAUGCGUUUGGUUGAACCAAUUUAAUUUACUAAUUUUGUGACUCGAGUAUGAACUUUAAAGUAGUUAGUUUGAGCCCAAAGUCUGAAGCCCUAAAGUCUCUUCUUUUUUUUUCUCUUUGGGGUGAGUUGAACUCACUACAUCCGGUUGAGGAAGCCCUGCUUAAACUUGCAUGCUGGGGAAACAAAAUCUACACCAGGAAAGAAAUGAUUAUUCGUCCAAAAUUCUUAGGAUGAAUCAGCCACUAAUUUAUGUGGAAACUACUGUAAUGCAUCUAAAGUUGAGCAACUGCUUCUCCUCAAGCUCCACCUGGAUUCCAUUUUGCAUAAAUGGCGAGUGAUAAUGCCCUGGUGGGAUACUCCUCCCGGAAGACUCUACACGACGCUUCAAGUAUAAAUAGUGGAUCAUCUUGGUUGACCUUUUCAUUCAGGAUUCCUACCUUGAUUCAUCUUUUAUUAAGGAUUUUGUUCAAGGAAAGGCAUGGCUCUCAAUCCUCAACACUAUUUUCUUCUCUUACUCACGCUAGCACUACUCUCUGAAUUGUGCUUGGCCCAAGAUGCCUAUGUAACCACCAGAGCAACAUAUUAUGGCAGCCCUGAUUGCCUUGGGACUCCAUGUAAGUACAUUUCAAUUUAAGGGACACAUUGGUCUCUAGAAUAGAUUGAUAAUUAAUUAUAAUAUCAUGAUUAAUUUGCAGUUGGAGCUUGUGGAUACGGAGAAUAUGGGCGAACGGUAAACAAUGCUCAAGUAUGUGGAGUCUCUAGGCUGUACAGGAAUGGCAGUGGCUGUGGUGCAUGCUAUCAGGUAGGCAUCUAUGUUCCAGCAAUAAACGUGAAUAAAUAACCAGAAAAAAUAAAAAAGAAACAAAACUGAAAUAGCGUGGCUACAUGGUCAAUUGAGUUCUUGUUAAUUGAGGAAUUCAUUACGUGCAAAAAUGGUCAAGAAAUUCAUUUGCUACUAGACUGUAACUUCUCUCUGAUACAUUUGCAUUCCAGGUUAGGUGCAAGCAUCCACAAUAUUGCAGUGAGGAGGGGACCAAAGUAGUGGCGACGGACUAUGGCCAAGGGCAUGACACAGAUUUCAUCCUGAGUGUCCGGGCUUAUGCCAAAUUAGCCAAGCCAAACGUGGUCGCAGAGCUGUUUGCUGCCGGCGUAAUUGAAGUCGAGUAUCGGAGAAUUCCUUGCAGUUAUCCAGGCUACAAUCUCCUGGUUAAAGUUCAUGAACAUAGCAAGUACCCCUUUUACCUAGCCAUAGUAAUACUGUACCAGGGUGGUACAUCAGACAUCGUCGCUGUUGAAGUCUAUGAGGUAUAUACAACACAUAUCGUCUACAAAAUUCGAGCAACGAAUUAAUAGUUACUAACUUAGUAUGUCUAAAUUUACAUUUUACUUUUCUCUUUUGAUGCAUCCAAUUCAGAUCCCACAACUCUGGAGAUGACUCUUUUGAUGAAUUUGUCACGAUUAUAGUCUAGGACGCACAAAGUCACAAGUACACGUAGCAGUUUGAGAGUGUAAAAUUUGUGGAUUUUAUAUAACUUUCUCAGCUAAAUCUGUACAAAUCAAAAGUACUAUUUUUUUGCUACUACUUAACUCAUAUAUAUAUAUAUAUAUAUAUAUAUUUUGGUUUGAUACAGGAAUCAUGCAAGCAGUGGAGGGGUCUACGAAGGGCAUAUGGCGCAGUAUGGGAUAUAGCUAACCCUCCAAAGGGAACACUGGCCUUCAGGUUCCAAGUGAGUGGCAGUGCUGGGGUGCAGUGGGUGCAGCCGAACACUGUGCUCCCCAGUGAAUGGAAGGCUGGGGUUGCUUAUGACACAGCUAUUCAGCUCACUUGAGCAAAUCAUCACUGGCUAUCCAGCGCUUUUAGUUAUGUGAUAUCUUCUAGUUUAGCAAAUUCCUCUCCCCCAAUUAAGCCACUAGAAAUACGAAAAAUAUGUGUUUGCUGCAUCAUCAAUUAGUGUCAAUAAGCAAAUGGCUUUUAGCGUAGUGUAAUAUUUAUAAUUUGGGUGUAAAUUUAGCUACGUACCAUGAAUAAUACGUUGAUCAUCGGACAUUCAGAUUUCAACAAAUCCAUCUCAUCAAUUGGGUUUUUGGUUUCUGAUUUCUCUUCGUAAGGGGAAAAAAAACUGAAAUCAAUAGAAAUUCUAGAGUAUCAAGGGGAAAAAACAACUAACGGGCUUCCACCACGUUUCAGUCCAAAAUUCUUUACAAAGUAGAAUAAGCAUUUAUCUGCAACAACACUAAUACGACCCAUAUGGGCACGUAAUUGAAAGCAAAGUGGAAGAAACGCCGUCUUGAAGGAUGGCAAUUUAGAACAAAUAAUUUAAUUCAAACAUGAUUUGGCUUCUCGCGUAUUAUCUGCAACGGAGAAAGGGAUAAUCAAUGACUUUAUAUAUCCAUACAUAUGCUAUGCUACAAGGACUCGGGAGUGAUUAUACUAAAUAGCAAUUGCCACUAUUUAGAGAAAAAUGGUCAGUAAGUGAACCCGUCGACCAAUUCAGUCAUACCUGAGUCUGUAAUUUUCAUGCUAAUCUAGUCAAAGCUAAGAGGACAACUUGGGUUAGGAAUGUGAACUUUUGUACAUUUAUCAUGAAAAGAAAAGAAAACAAGAGCAUAUGUGGUGGACGCAGAAGAAAGAAAAAAGAAAUAUGAAGAAAACUGCAAGUGUUUGGCAGCACAAGGAUAGGACGAGAAUUAACUACUUGAACGUAUAAUUAUCAUUUUACAACCUUCAUACGCUAAAGGUUGCCCGACGUGUUUGAUUGUUAGCCAUCACCAGGUAUGUGUGUAUUUCUCGAGUACAUAGAUCAGAUUACUAUCAAUCCCUAAUCAAAAAGGAUAAUUGGUAAUUAAGUCAAAGAUAAGAUUUGAAGAAAUUUAAUGACACUAUAAGUUUAAAGGGCAUUUAUGGGAUUAAAAUAUAUUCUCUUUCCUAAAACUAAUAUUUUAUUCUCAAUUUUUUAAAAUUAGGAUUGACAUGUUACAAAAAUGUUUGAAUUAUUGUGAUAUUUUCAAAACUUCAAGAAAGAUUUUUGAAAUUAUCCCUACUUUCCCCAUUCUUACUUCAUUGCACAUUCAAGGGAAAUUCGCCAUUUUUGUCCCUGAAAUUUUAAUCGAAAAGCAAUUUUGUCCUUUAUAUUUGUUUAACCAAUUCAGUCUCUAAACUAUUUUUCCUUUUCUAAUAUAGGACUUCCGCCGCAACGCCACCAAAUUUUACAUCUCUCGUUGAUUGGUGAGGGUUAUUUUUGGAAAAUCAGAUUACAUUCAGUAAUACAGAAAGAGAGAGAGAAAAAAAAAAAAAAAAAAGGCAGUCAUAACGCAGCUGGGAUCCUCUAUGCCACUACUCGGUGCCAAAUUCAGUACCAAUACCACUUAUCACGUGAUGGUAGAAGAAAUUUAAAUAAAUAGCACAUGACAAAUUAAAUAAAUAGGACACUUGGCAUAAAUAUAGAAGUGACACUGAGUUGUCACUGAAAAAGUGACACUGAGGAUCUCGCGUGGAUAACCCUACACUUCCUCUUGGCGGGCAUGGAGCAUGAAGGCAUGACUUGUCACUGAAAAAGUGUAGGGAUCCCGUGUGGCGGGCAUGGAGCAUGGUGUUGAUACAAGCUGGCGACUUUGCUGGAGCAAGCGGGCCAUAAAGUCACGGCUGUGGAUUUAGCUUAUUCUGUGAGAAAUCAAGUGUGCAUACCUUCCUUAAUUUCCAGAGAUGGAGUUCACUAGCCAAGAGUUUAAGGUGGGGCCAAAAAUUGGCACAUGGCGAAACUAUGCCACUAAUGUUACAACCCCGAGAGGCAAGCAAGAAUGGUCUUGAAUCAUUAGUAGGGGCUUUGAAGAAAAACAAAGAGUGGUUUGAGCAAUUGAUCAUCAAGAAUAGUGCUGUUCUUCUGAGAGGAUUUGAUGUGAAGAAUGCUGAAGAGUUCAAUGAGGCUGUAGAACUUUUUGGUUGGGAGGACAAGAGGUAUGUUGGACCAGCUCCAAGGACGCAUGUUUACAAAAGGAUAUGGACAGCCAAUGAGGGACCGCUGUCGGAGUUUGUAUAUUAUCAUCAUGAGAUGGUUCUGGUGAGUAAAAAUGUAUGGCAUUAAUUUACUUUAAAAUCUGUUGUUCUUGAAUUGCCUUUUUUCUAAAGUCAUAGCAGAUUAUAAUUGAUGCAUCAUCUUUGUUCUUUGCUUUUAGUUGGUGACAAUGAAAAACUUUCUGAUAAAACCCAAGGAAGUUUUUUGGUUACUACAUGAAGUAGGUUAAAUAUUCAUGCAAUCUUAACUAAGGGCUUUCUUGUGAACUGCCAAAGCUAAUCUUCAAGUGCCAUGGAACCAUCUUUGGAAAAAAAAAAAAAGGUGCCAGGGAACCAAGAACAACAUCCUUGUCUAGGGCGUGGCUAGAACAGAUGAAACCUAAUGUUGGGAUUUGGAGUUCAAACGCUCUCAAAACGCACAGCAAAGAAUCACUGAAUCAGAUUUUCUCAAUUUUCUUUGAGUACCAAUAUAAAUGGGGGAUUGAGGGGAUGAACCAGUGAAGAGCCUUUAGGAGGCAAAUCAGAAAUUUCCUCCUCCAUCAUCUCAACUAGAGAAUUCCACAGUAAUUAAUUGACAAAACAUAAAAAAGUCAAUAACCAUUUAUAGUCAAUUCAUUUUGCACUUUAUGGUGCCAUGAUAUGGCAUCAUUCUCGAUCAUCGCCCAAAAGAAGUUAAUAAUAACCUUGGUCAAGUCUCUUGAGUCUUAAUCUUAAUCUGAUUAGAUACGCGUAGCAAAACACAUAUCGUGGACUUCUAGUGCACAACAGUUGUUGCAAGUCUCAUAGCCGUUACUUAUCACAACCUGCAUUAGAAUGCACUAAUUAAAAGUCUUAUCGUCGCUGCUUAUCUAAACCUGUAUUAGCAUGCAUAAAUAUUGCAAUAAUAAACUACUCAUGUAUCCUAUCUUUGGGGAUUAAUUUCCAUGCUUAUCUACAUCAUUGGGGUGUCAUCCACGGAUAAUAUUCUAUAUCCCCGUCCAUUAAUCAAUAGAUCAGCAAUUCGUAAGUAUAGUAGGACGAUAACCAAUGUUGGUGAGGCUAAUUCAGUAUACACUCCUGACAUCAUUCCACCUGCAGUUGUUAAUGUGACAGGAGCUAAGUACACUUGCAGAUUGUCAAAGAUGAAAGAGAAGUUGACAUAUGAAAUCACAUUUAGCCCAUCAGCAUCGGCUAAUAUUACCAUGUCUCAAGGAUCUCUUAACUGGAAAUCGGCAAAAUACUCAGUCAGGAGCCCAAUUGCUGCAGUUAAGGGUGGAAGCUAGGCAGAAGUUCCAGCAGAAGAGAGACUGAAGAUUGUACUAUUAAUCUGAUCUUGCGUCCAUUACAACGUGCUUUUUUUAAAAAAUUUUUUGUUUUGAUAGUAAUUCUUCGAGGUAUAUUCCAAUAAAUAAUACACAAUAGUCAUCGCUCGUUGUCAGAUUCUGUCUAUGUUGUUUAUUUUCUCUACUGGUGGUGGUAUGAAUGCUUAUACUACGAUAAACUUUGUCAAUUUUUAGAGUGGAUAAUUUCUAGAAGUUGAAAUUAACAUUACAAGCCAUACAGGCAAAAAUGAACUCUAAACACUGAAUUAACAGGGAAGGUUACUGAAGAUUUGAACGCUAGAAGGCUUAAAUUUUAUGGGAGAAAAUUAGUUUUGACGAGUAAAAUUUGUAGCAAGCAAAGAUUUUACAUAUCUUAGGUCCUCAAGUGCGGACAUUCCUUAAAACACGAUCUGUAUUAAUGCAAAUGCUAAUUUCCACAUGCAACGUAGCACAUUCUCGACUGCACUUGGACUUCAAAUUGAGAUUCACCUGAAACAAUUGAUUGAUUAGGCCAAUCAGUUGCUGGUUCUGUGUCAGAUGAAAUUUUUUCCGACCCCAUAUACAAGCUUGGUUGAAGUAUAAACCUUUUUUCCUGUAUUUUUGAGAAAAGAAAAAUACUUUGGCCAUCAAGUGCACACAUCUUUACUUGUUCACGCGUGGACUAGGAACAAGAUUAUACCUAAAUUGGAGGAAGAAAUGCUUAUUUUGCUCCAUGUGGAAAGAUAGAGAUGGCAAAGGUACUACAGAUUGAGCAAACCUAUUUGUAAAGCCAUUAGGCAUUACGAAUCAAUCCACAAACUAAUUAACACGCCAAUCCUCAUCAUCAUUUUCCCCAGUCGCAGAAGUCAAUUCUGUUUCUAGAAUUCGAAAGUAGUUCUCUGGAAAAAUAAGUAACCUGCUCCUUAAUCCACACUUGGCUUCCACAAUCUCUAGUGGAAGAUAUAUAGGUGGCAGCAUUCCUCAUUGCGUCUGCCCUCAGGAGUCAGGACCCCUACUAUAAAUACCCUUUUGUCCAUCCCACAACUUCACAAUACAUACUCAGCGUAUUCUCAUUUCCUGGCUGAUACUGUAGUAUAGAUUAAUCCAUUUUUCUGCAGUUAGCAAUACUAUAAUUAUUGAAAAAAUGACUUUUGCACUCAGUCACUGCUGCAUUUUCCUCUGCAUAUUGGUACUACUGCCAGUUACCUGUUACAGCGGUGAUGUAUUCUUAUCCGCUCGGGCAACUUUUUAUGGUAGUGCUGGUGCCUUGGGGACUCCAUGUAUGUAACUUAUUUCCAUCUGUCCUUACUAAGCAUAUGCAGUUUAUAUAAUUCUAGAGUAUGAAAUAGCACCACUUAGUAUGACUGUCUUGUGAUUUUGCCACAUUCAAGCACUCGUUUUACGGGACUUUUAUGUUCUUUUCAGUUAAUUAUGAUCCUAAAUCCUUGUUUCUUUCGUUCCACUAAUCAGCUGGAGCUUGUGGUUUUGGAGAAUAUGGUAAAACAGUCAACAAUGGUGAGGUUUGUGGUGUCUCCAAGCUAUACCAGAAUGGAACUGGCUGUGGCGCAUGCUAUCAGGUGAAUUUUAAACUUCAAAGCCAGUUCAGUCUCACUUGUGUAACCAUCAAUCGAUUAGCUCCUCAGUUACCAUAUCAUUGACGAGGUUAUAGAUAAACCAAAAACAUGAAAGAUGAAAAAAGGGGUGUGGUUCAGAUGGGACUGCCUUCUAAAUUUUGGCUUAGUAAGGCUGAAUGUGAAGCUGAUUAGUACUACUUUCUUUCUUGUGCCUCAAAUGGGUACGAGUUGUUGAAUGCUUGUAGCUUACAACAAUUAAUGUAGGUGAGGUGCAAACAUCCACAAUAUUGCACUGAAGAGGGAACGACGGUGGUGGUGACAGACUUUGCAAUAGGACACGGCACAGAUUUUGUCCUAAGCUUUGAGGCCUUCGUAAAAUUGGCACGUACAAACAUGGGUAGACUGCUGAUAGCACUUGGGGUGAUUGAUGCAGAAUACAAAAGGGUUCCUUGCCAAUACCCAGGGACCAAUGUCAAGGUGAAGGUUCAUGAGAAAAGCAGAUACCCUGACUACCUUGCCAUUGUCAUCCUGUAUCAAGGCGGCGAAAGUGACAUCACAGCAGUUGAAAUCUAUGAGGUACCACUCCAGUUACAUUAUCAGAUGAAACUAAAUUAUCUGACUAUGAUAAAAACACUUGAAUACUGAAAUUACAAAAGCUCUGUUUGAUUCUUCAUUCAUUUGAGCACAACAGCCUGUCAGAUGGAUUAACAGUUUGGCCAACUAGGCACCACGAUUUUGUCAAUUAAGAACAAUUUUGAGAGUGGAUAUUAUAUAAAUAUCUACCAAGUAACACUUAAAUUCAAACACAAUCAAAAGGGUUCUGCAAAACAAGUGAGCAAAAGGUGCAUGAAUCAAGUUGCACUCUCGCACUUUGAAGAUGAAAUAAGGUAUUCAGCUAAAUGGAUCGAUACCUUUGGAUGCAGGAAUCCAGCAAGAAAUGGAAGGCCAUGAGGAGGGCCUUUGGAGCAGUAUGGGACAUAUCUAACCCACCCAAAGGUGCACUUACGUUCAGGUUCCAAGCAAGUGGCAGCGCUGGAGUAAAAUGGGUGGAGCCGAAAAAGGUUAUUCCCAGUGAAUGGAGGGCAGGGAUUAUCAUUGACACGGCUGUGCAGCUCAACUGAAACUACCAUACAUAUAUAUACAUAUAUCUAGAAUCCACGUAUUUUAUAAGGAAUAAGAUCUAUUACUAUCAAGCUACUAUAGUCUUAGUAGUCAGUAUCUGCCUCAGCUCAGGAUGGAAUAUCUGUAACUUUGUACCGAGGCGAUUAUAUAUGAAUAAGGCGUUUUUUUUUUCCCCCAUAAAAGAUCCUUCACAUUUUGGUUUAACAGAAUGAUGCAGCUAAAUUAAAACGCCAAAAGCAUUGACCACUUCUGCAGUUCUGCUGAUCUUGACAAACUGAAACCUCAUUCCAUACUACCUUCCUUAGAUCUAAGUAACCAAAUGUAUUGAACAACACCGUAUCAUCCAUCACAUAAAUGGAUUUCUGUAAGGAUCAGAGUGUUGCAGAGUAAUUCACUGUAAUACAAUCUGAACAUGUGAUCAAAUUUUAUAGAUGGAACACAAAUCUUAAUUCUAAGCACAACCAAUGGACAGAACACAAACAAGCACAUUUUCCCUGCAAAGAAAAAAUAAUGACAGAUAUAUCUGUCCCUGUUACUCUUCUUCAUUCGCGUCACUGACAGAUAGAGAGGUUAGCCCUUCAGUCGAUGGUCUCAUUUCCACCUUCUCCCAGGCGCUAUUUUUUCAAGAACCCGCAGAAGUGCAGAUGCAGUGAUUAAGAGGCUCUUCAAAUUGCUAGUUUAAUAAUAUAUCAAAGCCAUUGUGUUCCUUUCACAAUAUCAGUAAAUCCACACUUUACUUUAUUUUUUCUCCCAGGGAAGACCUUGCAAGUGGGAGGGAGAAAAGAGAAGAUUUGUGAGUUCAACAUGAAACAUAUAAUAUAAUUUUUUGGGUGUACUUGGUGCGGCUUUACUCAAGCUUUGAAAAAAAAAAGGACCAGUAAAAUCUCCAAGGCAAUUUCUAGAAAUAAUGCGAAAAAAAAAGUCACAAACUACAGUGUCAGCACACGUCAUAAUGUAUUUUUUAAAAAAUAAUGUAUUUGCAUUCCAUCAAAAAUAAAAAAUAAAUGGUAAUUUUAAAAAAUUAUGUAUUCACAUGCCAGUCCCUAGGGACUAGAAUGCAAAAUUAAAAAAUAAAUGCGUCGUUGCACUUCUUGCGGCAACCUUGUACCAAGGUUUGUAAAAUCGGGAUCCUACGUAGGAUCGAUUUUAGUUUCAUAGGAUCGGAUCGUAGAAUCGUAAGAUCCUACGAUCCUACCGAUCCUGCUACGAUUCUAUGCGAUCCUGCAAAGAUUAAUAUGAUUUGCGACUCUGCAUACGAUCCGGAUCGAUUUUGGUUAUCCGGAUCGUAGGAUCGUACGAUCCUACGAUUCGAAUCGCGAUUUUGACAACUAUGCCUUGUACUAGAUGUUUACCCACCAAAAUAUGGUACAUAAGAAGAAUGUACCAGACGUUUGUUUAUACAUCAAAAUAUGGUACUUUUCUACAAAACUACCAGAGUCAAAUAUACAACUUCAAAGUGGUGCCAUAGCAUCCUUUUGGCCUAAAAAAUUCAAGGGUUCAAAUCCCACCUGCAACAAAAAAAAAAUCCAAAGAUAGUGCUAUAGCACCUUCUUGAUCUAGUCAGAUCUGUAUAUCUACUGGUCCCUAACACACAAAACUCUUUAAACUCCCUUUUCCUGUAAAUUAGAAUAGAAUAAAUUAUACAAUUAUUAUCAUUGCCGGAAAAAAAAAAAAAAUAUAUAUAUAUAUAUAUAUAUAUAUAUAUACAACUUCAAUAAACAUUUUUUAGAAGAAUGUAUACAAGCACCAACAUUAGAAUUGAUCAUUUUAUAGGAAUAUUUAAGUUUCUUACUCAAUCAUUUCCGCCAUAUGAGCGUGAAAGAAGCACAUUACAUCAAGCUGAAUUUGUCAUCAAGAUGGUCACCACUCAGGUUUCCAAAAUUUGAAGGCAGAAGAACGACAAUUUAUAAAGAGAGCUCAUACAUGCAAAAUGUCAUUCAGUUUUUGUAGUCCCAACUCUCUGCGACUAGAAGCUUUCUAAUACAUCCUACCAAUACAUUCUGUAGAACCACAAUAGCAACUCUUUACCUUGAUAUUUCCUUUGGAAUCAUGAACCUGACCCACACCAUAAUUGUAAUGGUAAGUUAGCUCCUGCAAUGGAGGAAUGUUGUCCGCCGCAAAAAGCAUUACGUGGGGCACUCUUUUGUCAGCAUGAUCAUAGAGCACAUCCUGAGCAUAAAGGUUGGGUGAACAACUAUGAUUUAUGAACCUCCCGAUAUUGCCAUACUUUGCUGCAUCAAUGGUAUAGCCACCUUCUUCUACAGCUUCGCUUGAAUUUCCUAAUCCAUCGGAAUUGAUUGAACCCUCGCUGUAAUUCUUUCCAAUGUCAAACAAAUAUUCGUCACUUCCUGCUCUUAGUUCAGCUUCCUUGUCCUCAAGAAGCUCCCCAGCAUAUUCACAAAUAAAACUUCCUGAAGGAAUAGAAUACAAGGACCUUACUCCCCAGCCCCUUGACUUAGUCUUGAAGAUCUCAAGCUGAAUUUUGAUACCAUGCUGGCUGACUCUGUUAUAGCAUGUAGGAGGGCAUUUGCAAUGAGGUCCACAUUCAAAGACAAGAGGUUUUGCUUCUACUAUAGCCCCAUUACGAUUAUAUGGGAUCCCUCCUCCAUUUCUUUGUGCACAAUAGCAUUUUCGAGAAUCAGAGCAUUUACCAGUACAAUCACAGCCUUUAGGAGAAACUAGCCGGAACCAAUCAGGAUAUUUCAUCUUUCUAAUGUAAUUAAACUGUUGGGGUUUCUCACUGUCAAUUGUGUUCACAGCACAUACGGGAAAUGUCUCCUGUCCCCCUGCAAUGUCAUCAAUGCAAACCCCCUGCCGCACUCUAGAUUUUUUGGACUUCUUUACCUCUUUCCAUGCAAGCUCCGGCUGGCCUGGGAUUCUCUUCAAUUCAAACAUAAACACUAGUUUACCAUAUGUCCCAGUUUCUUUCCUACACUUCUCCACAGUAUACAAGCCAUCAUAAAUGUAUGACGUGACUACCUUAGCCCUUGAGUCCAGCGAAUCAGAAGCCUUCUCUUUGGAUCCACGAAUUACACGCACAGGAUUUUUAGUGGAGACACAAUUCCACAAUGCCAAGUUACCUCUUUCAAGCUUCUGGUCCUCUGGUUGCUUAUCUUUGCCAACUAUAUUUCCUCCUUGCCCAGAAUAUAUUAGGACAUCAGCAUUCUCCAUAUCAUCAUCAUAUGCCCCUGAUGCAACAAUACUAGUUGCAACAAGCACUCCAUUGUGCUUCAUGUAAUCUAUGCCAGCCUGGUAUAAACGAUGAAUCCCAACAAUGGCAAGCUCCACUCUGUACUGGAACUCGUCACCCACUUCAACUCCUGGAACUGCCCCCAAAUAUUGUUUGCCAGUAUUAACUUCUUUUCCUUUCUCUUUUAUAAUCUUUGCUGCUAGAAGAUCAAUCCUCCUGGUUUUCUCUGGCCGCUUCAAUGUUGCAUCUUCUUCCGGCCUCGACUCUUCUCCCUGCAAGAUUUUUCUACACAAUGCUUGAAACAGGCGCAGGGUCUCUCUAACUCUAUUACGAGCAUCACCAUUGCUUGAACUUGGACCAAAAGGAGGCAAAUUCACGUCAACCCUGGAACCAGUAGUAGAACCUUUAGGUGACUUAUCAUCUUCUGAUCUAUAAAUUCCCUCAUCCCUAACAAUUGCACCAAAAUUACCAUCUGCACCCUUGCGAACAGAAACAGCAACCUUCUUCAGAGAUGACCUUUCUGAAGACUCAGUAUUGACAAUGGUUUUCUUAGCAAAAGCUUUGGCCUUGCUUCGCCAUGUUAAAUUGCCUUCAUUAUCCUUGCCUCGGGUUUUUUCAACACUAGAACUUAGGGGCACUUUACCCAGCCUCAAAGGACAAUGUGGUGCAGCAUGCAGACCAGUCACUGUUGCAGGAUCAUCUUCAUGUCCUGAACCAGUGCUAUCAUCCAGAGCCAUUCUAUCACGGGUGUUCUCACCUUCAAACAGAUCAGGCGCCUUACUUAUAGAGCCUUGACCUUCCGCGGCUUCCUUAAGGAUUGUAGCAUCAGAAACAUCCUUGGGCAGAGACACCACUCCUCUUGCUUGACUUCCCCGGAUAUCAUCAACCUGAACAUUUCCUUUUGCUGGUUUGCCACCAAAAGUGAUUGAUUCUUCUAGAGCAGCAACUUCAACACCAGUCUCCACUUUUUCCAAUGUGUCCUUUUGUACCUUAGCAGGCAAUAUCUCCACAGAUGUCCUGCUAUCUGCACCAUCCUUCAAUGCCUUGCUAUCCGCACCAUCCUUCGACACUUCCAUCAUCCUCUUUUCCAUAUUAACCUUGUCCAUCCCCAGCAAACUCUCCCCAGAAGUAAUUUUUAGGCUCUCCUGCAUAGACGGUACAGGAGCAUUUCUUCCACAGAAUGGAGGAAAGUCACGAAUAGCUGAAACUCUUCUUGUGCGGAAUUUGUUCUUUGGACUCGGGACAGAGCCAUCUUUAAUAGAAACCUCCCUGUGAACCACGUGAUCAAUUUCAACAGUAGGUUUUACUACAUCUUCACCUAUGCUCCUCACCAAAGUCGUAAUAUCUUUCUUGUCCAAUUCCAUCACUGCUGCCUCAGCCUCCCUUCCAUUUACCUCUCCCUUUGAGGGUCCCACCAAAAUGGUUUUCCUUUCAACCUCCUUCAUCAACUCCAUUCCUGCAGGCUUUACAUCCAACGCCAUUUUCUUGACCCCAUCAUCCAAACUAUCAGUAAAGCCAGCCACCACUUUUUCCACCAACUUAUCCAGAGAUCCAUUCCCUUCCACCCCAUGUAAACCCCCUCCCAGUUCAUGAGACUGAGUAUCCACCUGACUUUCAUCUUUAACACAAUUGGCCUCUAAAGCUGCAGGAGCAUUAUCACUGCUCACCAAAACCCCAUUUUCUAGAUCUUCCAAAUUGGACAGCUUUCCAGAUUGAUCAGUUUCCAUCUCAUUUUUAAUCUUGAUUAAUUCAUGAGCCUGAGUCUCAACCUUAGUUUCACUAUGAACGCCAUUAGUUGAUGUCCCAAUUCCAUUCGCAUCCACCCUAGCUGGACUUUUCAUCCUUUCAUGAGGUUGAUUCUGGACCUCAGUUUCAAUUUUAACACCAUUAGGCUCUCCAACAGCAACAUCACUAACUGGCAACGCACUAUUGUCUUUGGCUUCUAAAUGAGGCUGAGUAUUUGGACCACACAUAGGAGGAAAAUCCCGAACAGCUGAAACCUUCCUGGACUUGUAGUUAGAUGCAUUUCCAGAGUUCGAAGGGUGAUACCCACUCUCCAAUGACCGCUUGUUUGGGUUCCCGUCAGACAAUCCACCAUUCAACAAGCACACCAUCUCAAUCACUAGAAAAAAGAAACACUCUUCUGAGUUCUGAAGCAGAAAAACCAAGCAAAAGGAAUAACAUAAAAAUCCCAAUAACAUUGAAAGAGUACGAAAAUUAGGGCUCAAAAGGAACAAAUAUAUACCAACUCCCUCCCCCCGGGACCCAAACAAAAAAAAAAAGGUUGAGGCUUGAGGAAUUAGAGGGUUCAAUUUCCCCCUUUGCCCUUCUUAAACCCCACCCAUUCCUUGCUCAGAACAAAAGGGGACAAUUCACUGACAACAAAACUUGUAUGCUAGAAUGUAUCUCAAAAGAGGGUCAAUACUUCAAAUUAGUACCAAUUAAGGGGAAAAAAAAAACCAACAAAUACCGAAUAGGGUUUUUUUCCCCCCAUUUUCCCUUUCAGUUUACCACUACCCUCCAGAGUACCCAUUGUUGCCGGCAGCUGUAUUUUCAUUAUCAGCAGAAUCUCGGUCAAAUCCUCGCCCGCCACGCCCACGCCCACGACCACGACCAUCACCACGUCCACCACCACGCCCGCCACCACGUUGAAUUUCAUUCUUUGCCUCCCUUACUGUUCCAAGUAAUUCAAGACAUCAAAAUUGUUAAAAUUGCACAUUCAAAAUAUUUCUACAGAAAAUUUAACUGAAGAAGUAAACCCUAUUUGAUUGUUAUGAAGCGAUAAGACUUAGCACACUGCAUCAGAACAAUCCAAGAAAAUCAUCACAAAUUACUAUUUCAUCCAAGGGUCAAGCAAAACAUGUCCAAGGAAGGUUAAUAAAAGGUCAACACAAGAUUGUCAAAACAACAGAAAUACAAGGGCAAAUAACAAACAAUACAACUGGAUAAAACUCCGAGUCUCCUAAAUUAGAGUACAACUGAAAAAAGCCCCAAGGAAACAUGCAAACCAAGUUACCAAUUUUUGUUGAUAGAGAAAUUCCCGUCUACUACUAAUUCAGCAAGUAACUGAAUCUCAUCUCUGACUACAUGAAUUACAAGCUAAAGAACAAUAUGAGAUAUGUAACACUGAAUGAUAAACUAAAAACCAAAAGAUUAUUGUGAUUAGAACCUAGUAGCAUUAGGUCUCUGUAAUGAGCAUGAUUGACUUGAAUGAGAAUGAACUCCAUUCACAAGACAGGCCUAAAGCACAAAAGAAAGGUUGCCACUGACAAACAACUUGCAACCUAGAAACACAUAAUAAAGCCAGAUCUCUAAACCAAACUACAUAAAGAAAUUAGUCAUCACUAUUAAUCAUGCUUCACAAAAUACAUAAAUGAAAGGAAUGAUAGCUUCCAUCAACGCACCAUCAACCUCAAUCAUACUUCAUUUCUUUCCUAUUUCCUGGAAAACCUACAUAAGACAUGAUCUUUCUACUCCACUAGUUCCCAUUUAUAAUCAAAAUUCUAAAAGGACCCAAAGUUAGCAAAUGCUUUUUUGCAUUUCUUCCUCAGCGAUAAAGGAAACACCAAAAUGACAAUAAAAAACGCGCAUGCAACAAGGGAAAAAAAGGUACAACAUAAUCACACAUCCUUUUAGAACAUGCAUCUUCAUUUCAAGCCCUUCUUUUCACUAUAACAACAUUACAAUCCAGAGAAACUUCCACAAAAAUGUCUUCGUGCCCUUUCAUUUCAUCCUUUCUCAAUCAUUAAGCACGGAAAAACUGAUAAGUACAGAGAAAUGACACGGUAAAACCCUCAUCACAGUUUCUCCUCUCUUUCAUUUCAGCAAAAUCCUUUCAUCAAAAACACAUUAAAAACCUCCAUAGAAAUUCCUUAUUUUUCUUCAUUUCGUUCUUUUGCAAUAAUAUCACCAAAAUCAAAUCAGGGACAAGGAGAUGAACUGAGUCUUACCAGCCUGAGCUGGGGGAAGGGGCUUGGAAGGAAGCUUGGCUUGACCCUGAGCCUGAGCCUGAGCCUGAGCCUGAGCCUUAGCCGGCUGAUUCGACUGAGCUUGUGCUGGACCCUUCUUGGUACCGGAGCUGCAGAAGCACGGAGCUUUCUGCUGCUGAGCAGCAAGAAGCUGACUUGGGUCAUCAUUAUCAUCAUCACCCAAAAGAUCAAAUGGGUUCAUUGUCGCCAUUUUCGAUACUCUCAGUGGUCUAUGUAUAUCAAACAAGGCUAAAGCUUUGAGCCUUAGAUUUAUUUAUUUCGAAAAUGAAUUCUAGUUGUUAUAAGAAUCCAUGGACAUUUAGAUCUGAUAUGCAGAAAGCAAAGAGUGUGUGUAGUGUGUGAAAAGAAGAGAGCGAGCGAGUGAGUGAAGAGGGGCUUUAGAAAACCCUAGCCGAAGCGGCAGAGUAUUUUGAGGGAGCUGAGGAUGAAGUCUGAUCUUAAAAGCCCUAGCAGGGAAAUGAUAAGGUGUUGGAGGGCGUACCAGAUGUUAAUUGAGGAUGGGUUGUGUCAUUACAGGCUUGGGCUGUUACUGCACUAUAACCAUGGUUUUGGGUUACUAAUUUGGGCUUUUGUUUUAGUUAUGGGCCUCCAAAUUUUUUUGUUUUUUCAGAUUUGAUGAUCUACAAGAGACGGUAAAUUGGAAAUCUAUUGUUGCAGAAUUUACUGAUAGAUAUUCUUUAUGGAAUAUUUUUGACUGAUGAAGAUAGUAAUAGCCAAUAGGAAAGGAGAGAAAAAAAAAAAAGGGUUUAUGGUGAAUAUUCUGAGUAUAAACAUUUGGGGUUUGGGCUUUGGACACGGAUAGAUAACCAUGGACAAAUUCUUAUUCCCUUUUGGGAACGGAAUGUAUAUACUGCAAUGAUUGAUCAGCACGUUUUUAGAUUCUGUCAAAAAGCAAUUAUCAAAGUGUGGCAUUUGUGGUAUGAGUGCUGGUUGGUCCAUGGAGCUGAAUCAAUGAAGGAGUUAGGAUUGGGGCUUGGGUUGCUCCACAUAUAUUCAAUUGCUGAUUCCACCCAAAUAAUCUAGAAACCUUUGGUAGUCUAGCUUUCUUUCGUGUAUUUUUCUGCUAUUAGUGCAACUUUCUUUGUUAAACAACUUUCUUUGUUAAACAAAUCAUGCUGAACGAUUUUCAACUAGUUUAUUAAUAAUACAGAUUUCUAUUUUAUCAAGGGAAAAGAAAACCCAAAUAACUUGAGUUUGAGGAGAAAGCGAGCGAGGUAUAAAGGAGUGAAAAAGUUAUUGGAUAAAAAAAUCUGAUAAUAUAAACAUUUUCUUUGUAGAAAUGCAGCUGCACAAUCCAAAAAUUUUCUUCUUUUUUUUGGAGGGGGGUAAAAAUCCAAAGGAUUUCCGUGACAGCGUUUUUUUUUUUUUUUCUUUCAAGUAAAAAGUUUUAAAUCCAAGACAUCCUAUCUGCAAUUCUUCUAUCCUUACCGCUCAACUCAACCCUCGUCUAUUGAGAGCCAAUUUAACGCUUGGUCGAGCAAGCGAUUUAGGAUUCUUUCAAGGUCCUAUGCUUGACUACUAUGUUUAGCAUGAAGGUUUCUUUGGGAGAAAUGUUUUGGGCCUGUUAGAGUUAGACUGAUGACUAUUUCCUUGCACUGCAGCCCGUCUUACCUCGAAAACGUGUACCUGUCACAGAAACAGGUUCCACCAACCAGGUACGGUCAUCGACUACUUUGAAGUUUUUUUUUUUUUGGGGUCAAGGACUACUUUGAAGUUUGAUUUACAUACAAUGCCAGGAUUCUGGUUUAUACUAGGACCGGGCAAUACAAGAUGUAGGACGUAAUUUUCUUCCUCGAUUAACUGAAGUAAUAGCUAGUUGUCUCUUACUUUUAUGUAGGUUCGUUCGCAUGAAGGGUGCGUCAUGCAUGAUACAGAUCACAGCUCAGAGAAGAAGAGCUUCUUUUAUUGGAAAUGGACCAAACAGUGAAUAUGUCAAAAUGAAAGAAAUCUUAGUCAAAAGUGGCUUUGGGGUCAUGGACAAGGAAGACAAGUUAGCGCAGGCCGAAACUUGUCAGUUAAGUACACCACCAAUUCUCGUCAAGCCGUAAAGUUGCAGAUUGCAAUUUGCAUGGAAAUGGAAUUUCUUCCAUUCCCUUCGCUACGUGUCCAUAUUCUCGGCUUGUAACAGAGAGAUUUGGUAUUGGAAAAGUGGCAGAUUAUAGAGGACAUUUCUGCCAGCUCCGAGUAGCCUGGAUUCCAGCUUCUUGAAUUCAAUUCUAUGAGGACAAAUGGUAUGCAAGUCGAUGACAUAAUCAAGACCAAUGAGAAGUUCGGGAGCAAGUAUUUCCUUCCCCCACGAAAACCCUCUCAAGCGGCAACUGAAUCUUUAAUUGGGGAUGAUAUUUACAAAAAAAAAAAAAAAAGAGUUUACUAGAUGGAAGCGACUAGCACAAGCUCAAUUUUCAGUGUACAAAUUAAACAUGGGUUUGAUUUUUGUAUUCUUGCAGUUCUUUGAUUUGAUAUUGUGGGUAUAUGUGCAAUCUUUUAGGAUUGGAAUCAAGGAGAAUUUUAGUUUAGGGGAGCCAAUAAUAGAAAAUGGUGGAUAAAGUAUAACAAACUGAAGCUCAUUUUCUUUUUCCUUUUUUCUGAGUACAAAGUAUUCUCGCAUGCCUUAGUGAUCUGUAUUUAACUUCAGAAAAUAAGUUACCAAACAGUGAAGGCAUCAAAAUGGAAGAAAUCUUAGUCAAAAUGAGAUUGAGGCCUCAGAGAGGCAGAACAAGUUAAGAAAGAUUGGAAUCUUGUUAGGUCAGUCUUAACAAUUGCCGUCAAGCCAGGUUGUAAUUUUGCAGGGGGAGAUAGAUUUGUUUUGUUUCAUCGAGCACGCGUCAACGCAAUCAGACUUGAACCACGAAGUUUGCUUGCGGAAAUAUUGCGAAAAACAAACAGUUCUGCCACCUCCUAGUAGCCUGGCUUCCAAGUUUUUGAAUUGAAUUCUAGAGAACAAAUGGUAAGGCGAGUCGACGGAUGACAUCACAUCCAAGAAUUGCCAUCCCUACCAAACCACUCUCCGGCACUGGUCAGCUACUUUCAUGGUCAUAAUAUGGUGCGCAACAAUAUGGCUUAACCCAUACGCUUGACAAGGUUUCAACUGUUCUUCUUUAGAGAUUUACUUCAGUCUUAGAUGGCACGGGAGGAUGGGAGGUGCUGUCUCUUUGCUCAUUUUGAUUUGCGAUCCGCUCACGAUUUUUCUUUUCAUAAUCAGGGUUGGUUUGGGAGUGCUAAUGAACUAUGAUUUCUAUGACCAAUAAAAUGGCGAUACUUCUUUAGCAUUAUGGUAGCCAAAAAAAAAAAAAAAAUUUUACUCUCCCAUUUUACUUGCACAGGCAGUUUUAGGAGUUUCUGCAGCUAAUCAAGAUUUUUUUGUAAAAGAUUGCUACAUGGAAGAGACUAUAUAUAGCACAAGAUCGAUUUUCAGUGCAUAAAACGCGAUACAGCUUUGUAUUCUUGCGGAUUCUUUGAUCUCUGAAUUCAGGAUUGUGGAAGUUUUAUCAUCGAUAUAAUCAGGGCUCAGGCCUGGUUUUUUUUUGCGAAUAGAGGGUAUUCUUGCAUGUGUCUUCUUCAGUUAGCACUGAGAAGUGGAAGAAGUUGCGAAUCAGAGCAAAUAAAGUUAAAAGUUCUAAAGGACACCAAUGCCAAAAUUGAUUAUCAAAAUCGAAGUACUUCAUUUGUAACUUUUUACAAGGAAGUAAUUCUCUCAAGUCAUCCCGUGAUAUUACAUUAGGAUGGACUUGGCAAGCAGCUUGACAUGUGCAGAUUUCCUCCUCUUUCAAGAUUCAAUCUGCCCAAGGAACUUGCUUUACUAGUAUACAAUCUUUUCACAUUAGAUCCCUGCUCAUUUAGCAAUUUCACUAAACUCCUCUUGGCAUUUGAUCUAAAAGGGCAAUUUGACGCCAAGAAACCAUCCACCAAGUGCAGGUAAGCCUCCAAGUCAUGGCAACAUGCUACAUCUGCAUUUGGCUUCAAAUAGGGAGACAUUUUCGUGUCGACUCUUAGUUCUGUCCCGACAUGUGAAUACGCCCAGGGCAUGCUGCGUCCAAGGCAUUAAGCACCCCGGCGGCAGCACCUGACUCCCUCAGCUUCUUGUCAAGUGUUUCGCUAACGAACAUGCCCGGAACCUUUGUGAUUACAUCUUGAUUGUUCACAACUCUUAGCACUUUAACGUUGUUCUCAGUGAUUUGAUCUGCAAAUCCACGGUUGCCAACUCGAGGGCCUCCGAAGGAAACAACCGCUACUGGCGGCACGUUUGGUGCACAAGUGCUGAGUUCAUUUGCCACCAACAGUGCCAAGGCAGCGCCCAGGCUGUGCCCUGUGACAGUUAUGCUUAGGGUCUCUCCUCUGUAUUGUUCAAUCAGUCUUUGAAUUUCUUCAACGACUGAUUGGCUAGGCUUGGGACAUGAGCUCCAGGGGUCUGGUAUAGACUCGAAAACCACAUUCCACUUUUGGUUGUCCAUCUUUUGAGCCAUUUUCUCCUGGCAUUUGGACUAACACGUCCCUCAUAUUUUCUGCCCACUCGAGCACGUGGCCGUUCCACGUAGGGCGAUCACGAUGUCCCUCCUUCCCAUCCGUUGGAUCUCCCUACGAUCAUCGCACACUGCCACAUAUCCGAUCCAACUCGACCUCUGGGUCAUCCACCCGAGAUCCGGUGCCACAUCAUCCACCCACUUAGGCAAUCCGAUAGAUGACGUGGCAUAGAGGCUCUGGUAACCCUGUAGGACCUAUCAGGCAGUGCCACAUUGUUGGGAGGGAGCUUCGUCUGCUGACAUGGCGGGUUGGAGUGAAAGCAUGAUAGGCUGCCUGAACAAACUCGCCGUACCUGACCACCUCUCGCCGGAGAUUCUCAUCGAGGGGAUCAAGAAGGCCAGCCCAGUCAUUGCAGCCGUGAUAUUCGCGCCACCGGCUACCGAGAGUACUCCGGGGAGAAUACUCCUGUGACAUGGAUAGAAGUCUCUGUAGCCUGUUCAAAUGCUUAGGAGACAUGUCCUCAGCAGCUUUCAUCUCAGGCCAUAUUCUAGCCAGGUUGAGUCCCUCCAACAGGCCCUUCCCUUACUCUCCGGCAAACCAUUUUGUUGGGAAGAUUCUUUACCACUGGUUCAGGGUCAGGGGGAUGGAUUCCUUCUGCAACAGUUUUUCAAGAUUGGAAAGGUGCUUUUUUGUCACCUCAGUGGUGGAUUGAACUGCCUUAAUGUUUUGUGCAUGAGCUUGAGGAGCUCUUGUUGAAGGGUUCAAAGGAGAUCCAUUGCACUUGAAAUUGGCACGCCUAGCCUGAAAACUACUCAGGUUGUGUGCCGGAAUUGUUGAGCCAAUUUGCAUCAUUUUUUUUUUUGGUUAAGAUGGAUUAAGUAGCCUUCUUGUUGAGGAAGAAAAUUAGAGAGGAUAUUAGGAGACAGAAGAAGAGUUGAGAGAGAGAGAGAGCAGAAGAGAGGAAAGUCAACCAGGUAAUACAGGCUCUUCAGCCACCAAAAUGGCAAAUGUUUGCUGAAACCAAGUGGGAUUUACUGGAUCAAUCCUCCUUAUAUAGACUCGUCCGUAGGGCUGGCUGAAUUGAGAAUAUGAGGCUCAACAAAGGUGUUUUGUGUCCAAAGCAUGAAAAAACAGGAAAAGUCAGCCUACUCGGCAGCUUAAUUUUGGUUUUUUAAACAUUACUCGGUGGCAUCAUCUGACAUUAUUUCAAAAAAGACACCUCUGACGGAUCGUGUCGCUGUUCGGUUCAAAUGUCAAAUCUGCCCUUUCUUGGGCCGCAGCACGAAGGUUUGACAAUGACAUAAAUUUUUCUCGACUAUUCUUGGGAGGAAUUAUAACGAAUUUUGGGGUUUGAAAAUAAAUGAAUAUAGAAUUGGUUCAAACUUCAUACUCAUGACCGGAAAGAUUAAACAAAGAACAAGAUAUUAAAAAAAAGAAAGAUAAUAUUAACGUAGUAAGCUUAUUUGUUAACGUCACUUUCGUUUGUACAACAUAGAAGGUUUUGAUGAUGUAUUAUGCUAAACUUUGAUAUACACAAUAAAAAGCAAUUUUCCUUGAACAAAUUCAUUCAAAGCUAGAUGACUUGUUAUUUUUUCCCCCCCCUUGGACCGUGUUGUGUAACCAUAACGUUUCUAAUUUUGAAGGAAUGGUUAAUUGCUUAUUCUCCAAAUUUCUGACUCAAAAAUAUGCCAAAGCUCUGCUACGUAUGCUCUAAAUUUCCUUUAAAAUGCCCAGUAAAAAGGUCCGGUAGAUCUAUCCCCUGCCGGAGUUGAUAUGGUAAAAUGGUUGAAUCUUGAUUUAGCUUAAAAGUAAGAGGGAGAAAUUCGAGUCAAACAGUAUUACCAAGUAUUUUGGGCGGUCUGAACUUUUAGCUAAUAAAGCAUUUCUUGCUUUAACAGCCAUCUAAUGGUACUUUUCCAUUUGAUUUUUUCAAUUCAUGAGUCAAGAUUUAAUUCAUUUACGGUCUAAUUCAAUUCAAAGGAUUGGAUAAGUUUUAGUUUGAAAUUACUCAAUUUCAAACUAUUGCGGCUUACAUUCACCUAGAGCAUGCCAAUGACCAUAGAUUUGAUUCAAAUUUUAUAAUCCAUCGUAACGUAACCAAAGAUAUGGGGAAAAAAUCACACAAUAGUUAACUAUUAAUUUAGCUAAUUAUAUUUGAUCUAUACUCUUUUCCACCUUCUCUCUACUUCUUCUCCUCUUCCCAAAUGCCUUUUUCUUAGAGAGGGGGACUAUAUGAAUUUCAUUUUUUUUUCUAAUAAAGUCUCUCCUAAGUUUUCUUAGUAAAUAUUUUCUAUUUGAUGUUCAUAGUGAGAAUUUCUAUUUUUUUGGGGUUCCUAUGAAGACUUUGCAUUAUUUUUAUCUUAUUUUAUUAUUAGAUCACACUUUAUUUAAAUCUGAAUUUUUUUUAGAUCUUGGAUCUAUUUCGACAGAUCUAAUCAUUAUUGUUGAAGUUUAAAAUCAUUGAUUAACAAAUCUGGCGAUUACAACACGCAAGAAAGAGAGCUGCAACGAUCUAUCUUAUCAGAAGAGUUUUGAAAUUUCUUAUAUUUUUCAAAUCUAUUCAUAAUUUUUCACUUAUAUUAUAUCUGUUAAAUUAUAGAUAUAUAAUUUUUUAUGCAUGUUCAACCUGUCAAUUUUAAGCAAUUCAUUAAUGAAAUUUACUUUUUAUUUAACAAAGUUAUGAAAAAAUCUGCUAUUCCAAUACCAAGAAAAAACAGUUAUUUUCAUUUUCUAUACAUUAUUUACAAUAACCCUAUUCGUUUCCAUUCUUCCUAGGGAAUGAUCAACCAAAUUUAUGUAAGGGAUGAUUGGGUUGAAUAGUAAAGUGGGGGAAAUGGAAGGUUUUGAAUUCAAGACCUCUCACUUAUAAAAAUAAAAAUAAAAAAUUAUGCAACCUACAAUAAACACCUUCCGUUUGAUUGUAUUGUUGCCAUUUUAAAAUUUUUUUGUCAAAUCUAGCCCAGAAAAUAACAAAUAAUAAAUGGACCCUAGGUGAUUGAAAAAAAAAAAACUUAAGUUAUCACUAUAGACAUUGUAAGACAACAUAAUUAUAGUCUCCAUGGAUGCAGAAAAUCAUUAUAUACACUGAAAAUAAGAUAAGGGCUUUUUGGACUUUUCAUCCACGGGGCACAUAAUAACUUGCCUUUAAUCCUUGGGAUGAUUUCAGCUGCCAAUGCCUCUCCCUGUGGCUUUGUCAGGCGAGAGAACCUGUAAUAUUCUAAUUGGAAAAGUGAUUAACAAAUUAAUUAACUAACAAAAUCGCAUCAUUAUUUGCAGAAUCCAAUUGAAUGAAGUUUUUUUUUUUUGGUCACUUUAUAGCUGAUGCAAGAUUGAAAAUGCUCCACUUUCGUCACAUUGUUAAAUUACAAUUUUCAAUUAACUGGGGCUAUUAAUUGUUGCGCUCGAUUAUUACUUUUGGCUUCUUUUUUUUUUCCAUCAACCGACAGGCUACGUAGGACACGUUCCUUGCGGCUCACCAUCUCAUUAUCAAUUCUUAGCCGAGUGAAACGUGUAUAAUAAAUUAAUGGAUUUUCAAUGGGGCCUAAGGAGGUGUACACCUUAGAUUAGUAUUAAUUAGGUUGAGAGGCUGAAAGAUCCAUUUUCAACGUGUAGAUUAAUAAACUAUGUUGAUUUAAUGUCCUUAUCUUUUGUUGAUAUUAUUGUGUAGCGUAUAGUACCAUAUAUUGCAACUCUAUCUGAGACAUUUGUAGAAAAUUAUAUGAUUUUAUAUGACAUGGAAUUAUAUCUAUUUUUUUUUCUUAGAUUUGGGACCUCAACAGCCUUAAAUAUCUAUAGGUAAAUUAUAGAGAUAUAAUAAGACUAUUCAUGACAAUGUUUGACAGCAUGGUUGCGAGUAUAAUAUGUGUAUUGACUUUUGAAUAAGGGGAUGCCUCAUAAAAUUGAGUAAAAUUUGAGAUUAGAUUUGAUUUGGAUGAAAAUCAUUAUAAUAACACCUAAUUGACAUUAGAUUUGGAUAGUGAAAAGAUGUUUAUGAAAGGUGUGACAUCCAACAGUUAUUGAAGGCUCAUCAAUUGAGUAAUUUUUUUUCUUUUAAAAAAAAAGUAAUUUUUAAACUGAUAAUAUAUAUAUAUAAGCGGAUUUACAUGCAUGUCACAUGUGUAAAAUUUAGAGUUAAAAUUUAAAUUUAAAUGAUAUAAUAUACAUCUAAACUCGCUAGUAUAUAUACUGUUCCUGUAGAAUAAAUUAAUCCCAAGAAAUAAAAUGAGAUCACUUAGAUACAAACUCGAUCCAACCUAUUUAAUAAAUGUUAGUACUUUGUGCAACUUUGGGGUGACUAUAUCUUAAAACUUGGAAAGAAAUACUUGUAGCAACCAUUUGGUCCUUGUUCCAAGAACCCCUCCAUGCGCACAAGUCAUCAAAAACAAUGAUCAGGGUAAGACACACACACACACACCGUACACUACAAGGUAUAUGCAAAAAAUGAUGCAAUGUUGUUCACGUUGAGAAAGCUACAGUAUAUUAGUGUCCAAGGUGCAUUUGCCUUGGCUACUAAGUGAUAUGGCCACCCAAGUAAUGCGCCAAUAACUUUUUCAGUCCCAACACUAGUGGUGUGGUCUGUGUAGAGCACCGAGCCACCAUAGCAGUGGUGGUCCGAAGUUGAGCCAUUAUAAUCAUCAGCAAAGCCAUUCACUCCAUUAAAAGGGAUCCAAGACUUCUUCAAAACCGUUCUCAUUAGCUUAAUGGACUUUCAAGCUUCAACAUUAAUAGUAUAAUAUAGCCUGUCAUUGAAAAGAUACAUCAACUUUGCCCUGAUUUCCAAUGCCCUAAUCUGAUUCAAGCAAAACUUCAUCAUAUUUUCUUGAUCACAUGCAUACACACUUCGCAUGCUACUACCGUCUAGCACGGUUUACACCUAAAAGGUGUUACACGUGAAAUCGGCGGUCAUAUUUAUUAGGUAAAGACUUAGAGGAAAAAGUGAAGAUCAUAAAAUCUUGGAAGUCUUUUCCUCUGAUACGUGUGGAUUAUUUGUCACCUUAACGGUUACAAAUCUGACUCGAAGAUGUAGUAAUGUUUGGAAUUCAGAAUAAGUUUAAGUGGUAGGUAAAUGGUAGCUAUCUAAUCUCUUGAUACUAGAACAGAAGGGUUCAGUUUAUCCCCCCAAAAUUACUUUUUAAACUCUUGUAAAAAUCUAUAUAUUUGAUAUGAACUACCCGUACACAAUGUUAAAUUUAGGCCUAGCUUUUAGUAGAAAAAGCUGUAUAUUAUGGUCAUGCAAGGUCCAAAAUGAAAAACCUCGUAUCCUUAUCCUCCUGCCACAAAGUCAAACGUCGAAUUUGGAAUGGAAAAGGUACAUCUUGUUGACCCACGAGAACAUAUAUUUACUCUAGUUGCUGGAGCUGGCCAUGGCCCCAUCAGUCGUUUUUCACUACCAUUUCUUUGUUUUCUUUCCCUGUGCUUGUCAUUCUUCUGAUACCAUGUAGUAGUAGUUAUUUUAUGACGAACAUACGCGUAGCAUAUGACUCUACAGCUACUCCACCGUCCAAAUUAACUCUUCAAAUUUUGUUAAACUAACAUUUAUUUUAACUUGGAUUUGUAGAAUUUAAUUAGUGCACGUUUGACCCCUCAUUAGUAUUUCUUGUUAACUACCAUAUAAAUGCUUCGGCGGUAGCAGUUGUGGCCUGUGGAAAUAUUCAUCACGUCCCUUACUUGUCAUUUUCUCACGAAGACUUAAGAAUUCUUUUGAGCUUGGAAGUUGUAAUGUAACGAGUGAUGGCUUUGUCUCAAUCAACGUGUAGCAGAUAAGCAGCGAGCAUCCGAAACAAUAGUAAAAAACGACCUUAAAUUUGUCAUCUACCAUGCUGAUGAGUAACGAAACAUGUUAGGAAGUAGCUUAGCAGUUGGAUGUUCAUAUUAUUAUUUUCCUUCAACAAUAAAUUUAGACUUCAUGCUACACUUACUACACCGCCCCUUAUCAAUAUCCAAUUUUUUUCUCUCUUUGCACGCAUAGACACAUUAACUGUUUGGAUUGUUAAUUUCUAGAGUUUUUAUAGAAACGUGUACUGUAAUAUUUUAAUAUAUGUGAGAUGAUUGAAAAAUGUAUUCAUGGAAAAUGUUAAAAAAAAAAAAAAGGGUAUAUAUCUUAUGCUGCCUGUGUAUUUAGUAGUGUUAGUUAUUUAUUUAGUAAUAGAAAGUAGUAGACUACCGACCACUAUUUUGUUAUUCUAAUUCAGGCUUUACAGUAGUCGAGUCUGGACCGUGAAGUAUAAACGCUCCGGCUCAGCACCAUUUUGUCAAAGUAGUCGCUUGGCAAUUUCAGUCUAGCUAGCGGUCGAGUCGAGGGGAAGAAAAUUGUUGUACAAGAAAACCCCUCUUGUCUCUAACCAAGAUGUUGUGGCUCGUUCAUGGGCCACCAAAAGGAAUAAAUAAGGGUAGGUAGUUGUAGAUGCAUGACUUGUUAUUCUCAAUACAGUGCAUGUUGACGAAAGAAACUUAAAAAUAGACAGUUGUGGUUAAUUUGCUUAAAAAUUGAUCAUCAGCAUACAAAGUUAGCCAACUGGAAGAUUUUAAUAUGUGUUGAAGUCUUUAAGGCAUCGUGUGGGGGGGGUAAAGAAAGAGAAAGCGUCAAUUAGGACGAAAAAUAUAUACCAUCGCAAAUCUCUAGGAUAUAUAUUGGUUUGUUUGGAUUGUGUUUUAUUUUCCCAAUUUUAUCUGCUUACAUCAUCAUUACAAUUUCCAAUACACCUUUUUAUCUUCUCAAUUACCUUUUUAUCUCACACACAUCACAUCACAAAAGGUGCUAAUAGUUUCUACUAUUCUUAGGUCAUCAUAAUUUUCCUAAUCAUUUACGAUAAUAGAAGCUGCUAAACUUCUUGUUCUUGCUUUUCUUUAGUAGCUAGAGGGGAUUAAGCCACUGAAUCAAGUGUUCAAGAGCUAAGUUUUGGUCGAUCGACAUUAAUUGCAAGAAGUCGUAAUAGAGUGAACUAAUGUAAAAUUUAGCACCCAAAAAGCAACUCAUUUUAAUUUGGUCUCCUUUAUUCGAACAAGCGAAAGAAAGGGGGAAUAGUUUGUUGCAGUAGAUUUCCCUUUACCAUCUUAGAACAUGAAAUAAAAGAAAUGAACAUUCUCUCGAGAGAUACGCAUAGGUUUGUUUGGAUAGAAUAUUAUUUGGAAUAAUUACUGUAAUACUUUUUGUGAUGUGAUGUAUGUGAGAUAAAAAGGUGAUUGAAAAUAUAAAAAAAAAUGGAUUAAAAAAUGUGUUUAUAAAUGUAAACAAAAUAUUAUUUGGGAUAAAUUGCUAUCCAAAUGAAAUAUUAAUUAUUUUCAUCUCUUCUCUGUCUCUGUCACAAACAAAUCUGACCUAGCAUUCAUCCAUUAAAAUUUAAAAUAUAAAAAUCAGGUUUAGAAACUUAUAGAGGAAUUAUAUUAGACCUAAAAGCCGCUGGCCCAAAUAUUUGUCAUUAAUAAUUGCUAGACUUUGUGUCCCUCCAAAAAAUUUGAGAAAUAAAUAUAUGUGAGUUAAGUCAUCAAAGGUACAUCCAUGCAUGUCGAAGCACGACAGAGAGAGCUAAAAUCUGUCUGAAGUGAAUAACGUUAGAUUAUACUACCACUAUUAAUCCAUAUGCAUGCUGAGGCAUGGACCAGCAGGUUUGAGACUUUUCUUAGUUGAUAGUAUUAUACAAAUGCUAAGUAGCUCUCGAUUUCGUACAAGUCUACAAAUAUGAACGGAGAAGAAGAGGAGAAGACGGGGGAGUUGAACGCUAUACUGCCGACUCCCAUGCAACACGGAGGACACACAGAAAGUGCAGAAUUAUCUAACUCGAUCCGUUGUCUUGUUGAAAUCAGAAUGGAACUUCUCUGUUUUCUUGUCUCCAAAACAAGCUUAUUAACAGCUUUCCGUCUUCUACUUUUGAAUGGCAUGUUUUCUGCGACUCCAGAACAGUCCCAAAAAGAAAAAGAAAAAAAAAAAGGAUCUGCAAGACGAAAAAUCAAGAUUUUCUUUAGUUUUAAUAUAUAUAUAUUUCACGACUUCAAUUUUUCCAAGCAACUUCGUAGGAUUUUGGUUGCAUUCAAUUCAUACACUAUCUGUUUUUAAUAUAUAUAUGUAUGUAUGCAUACGAAUUUUACUGUCUAUUUGUGACAUACAGUCCAGAGUCCAAAGCGGGAAUUUCAGGGGCUAAAUCCAUUUUUGCCGUACAAUUUUGCAUGAUGAAAGGAUCAACUAGAGACUUUAUUUAUAUCCUCUUCAGGAUGUAGUUUUCGGCCAGCCAAGUCGGUCUUCCAUUACAUAAUUUAUUGAGGUAAAUUUCUUGGAGGUUUUCUAUCCACUUGGUGGAGCCGGGGUGCACUUUUGCUUUUUGCUUUCCAAACUUUACACCGUACAGAUAAUCUACGCUGGAAAAGACUAGAUAAAAUCGGUCGAAAAGGAAAAAAUUGGCUAAUCCAAUGAUGUACCAACUCAGUAGUGGGACAAAGAAACUUGUCGGGCAAUUCUACGCAAAUACUUCACUUUAUUUGCUUUCUGGAUAAUUAACGCAAAAAGUUACUGAACUUUUUUGUUUUUCUUCGGUCCCAACUAUGCAAAACAUUUUGGAUGCCUACAUUAUCUCAAAUAAUAUUUCGCUUGCAUCAUAAAUACAUUUCUCAAUCUACCUUUUUAUAUUCUCAAUCACCUUUUUAUCUCACAUACAUCACAUCACAAAAAUACUACAGUAAUUAUUUCAAAUAAUACACUAUCCAAACAAACCCAUUAUUAUUAUUAUUAAUCUGAUUCGGCUCUUGAUUUCUCUGGCUUUGACUUUUGCCCGGUUCUCAUGAAGCUGCAACCUUUCUGAACCCAAAUUACUACUGUUUGACUGAAGGGGGUAAGGGAUGUUUGCGAUCUAGAAGUAGAGGUUUUCAACUUUCUGUCAUAUAUAUUAUUUGUGUGGUAACAUGUGUAAGUGGGUGGUUACGGUUGUCUAAUUUGAACAGUACAUUUUACCACUUCCAAAGGCUUGUCACAUCUCUAAUUCUCAAGUAUUUCAUACGGGACGGGACUUAUGGAAAGAAAAGGGAAAGAUAGGAACAGGUCUUAUUCCAUGAAAAGGAAAGGAGAAUGAGUAAAUGGUCGUUAUUUAUCUAUUUCAAAAUUAAGCAAACAUUCAAUGAAAUUCCUAUGUACACGUUAUAAGGGUCCUAGAGGAUAUACUCUCACCAAAAAAUAUACUGGCUUUUUCCUACUAAAGAAAAUGUAGCUUGAGAAAAGUAGGAGGUCUUAAUUAACAAGUGCGACAAGAUUAGUGGGACAAAACAAAAAUCACUAAAACUUGCUAAUAUCCAUUAUUAAUUGGACCGGAAUGAAACUAAAAGAUUUAAAGCUAAGAAAGAUCAAUUAAGUUUGACAAACAAAUUAAUAUAUAUACUAGUGUGUAUAGUACUGUCUAUUGCAAACUCGAUCUCUUGUGUGAUGGUGGUGGAUUAAUGGAUAUGGACGGGGGUUGGUACGUAGGAUUUCUACUACGGCUUUCAGUGCUUAAUGUUCGUGGAGGUCUUGGCCUUAGUUUCACAUUUGCUGGUUGCUGCCUUGUCUAUGUCUCGUAUGCGAGCAGCAGAAUUGAAGUUCAAUCGUAUUAAGACGUACAGCCAAUGGACGUGAACAAUUGGUUCUCCUUGUCUUUCCUGAACUUUCGAUGAAACUUUGUUUUUGUGACUUUUGAUGUGUCUUGUUGUCAACUGCAAGUAAUCUUGAAUUCGCCAUUUAGGUUGGUGGCUUGCUCUCAUAUCUUUGACCCCAGAAGAAAGUAAAUCAUAGGAAAUUAUGGGUUGCUUUUGGCAUUGAUAAUGAUGUUGACUUGUUGAAGCUGUAGACUAGUAUUGCAGUUGAAGUAGGAAAAAUCAACACUCUUCAUGAAAUUGGAGAAAUGUCUUUCUUUCACAGAUUACAAGCACUAAAUGCAGGACGGUGCUAUAAUGUUGCAAUAGUGUCAUAUUUCAUUGUUUGGAGUUUUGGACGGUGGACUGAGCUGAUUUAAUAUCUUGUUAUCUCACAAAUUGAUCACAAUUAAACCUGCAAGUUUUAUUUGUUCCAAACUCGACCCUUCUAACCCUCGACACAACCGCCUUGUUCUGAAUCGCCUUAGAUUUUGUAAAAUCUGAAUGCAAAAUCAAAUGAGAAUAUCAAAAAACAAAAAAAAAACUGAUUAUCCAAAAUCAAAACCGGCAACCAGUUAAAUAAAAGGAUCAACCAAAAACGAGCCCCAUUAUCACUUAAUCCAAUUGUUGAAAUUUAAGCUGACAUUGAAAUGUGGACAAAACAGAAUAAAAUCCAAGAGAUUGGAACGAAGUAUCACUUAGGAGUAGAGGUGGCAAAUCAACCCACCUAACUAAAUUUACCCAUACCCGCCCAUGAAUAGAUGGGUAUGGAUAUCUUAAAUUUUUGUAUAUGGGUAUAAAUGGGUUACCCAAUAAUACCCAUUUAAUAAAUGGGUAUUAUUGGGUAACCCAUUAAACCCAAUUAACCCAUUUAGAAUCUCUCCCCCCCAAGUCUCUUCUUUUCCCCACCUUUUUUUUUUCAAAUUUUUCAUUUUGUCAUGAUGUCAACAACUUUUGUUUCAUUAUUAUUAUUAUUAUUAUUAUUUGUUGGUUUUAUCUUAUUAUUUUAUUUUCUCUUAGUUUGUUAACUUGCUCAUUUUUUAGCAUUACCAAUUUAUGAUAAAUUUUAGCCUAUUUUCUUAUCUUUAUAAAAUGAAAUUUUAAAUUUAUAUAUGAAAAAAAUGUUAAGGUUUCAAAAUUUUUCGAUUAAGUUUUUAUAUUAAUUUUUAUAGUACUCAGUUCAAAAUUUUAUAUUCUUAUUAUUCAAUUAUUAAAUAAUAGGUAAUUCUGUGACAUAGAGUAUAAAUGAAAAAAAUUUGGUAAUUAAGUUUAUUGAACAUUAUAAGUAAAUAUUUAAAACUAAUGAUGGGUACAAAGAGUGGUAUAAAUUGCUAACUUAGUUUGCAAAAAUGAAUUUAAAUGAAUUUACAAAAAGUUAAAAUAAAUGGGUUAUAAAUGGGUAAUUGGGUUACCCAAUUCAUUUUUUGACUUACCCAUUUAUACCCAUCUAAUUAAAUGGGUAUAAAUGAGUUGACUCACUUAUACCCAUUACCCAUUUUACCCAACCCAAACCCGCUCAAGUCACCCAUUUUGACACCUCUACUUAGGAGCAUCAUUACUACUUUUGCAAGAUUUAAAAACAAAUUUGAGACUAAUUUUUGUCCUGAGUAAAAUACUGGUUGAAUUUGGAUAAACAUAACAGACCACAAAGAAACUAGAAAUUUUUUUUUUUUUUGCCCUUUUAAGCAACUAGACCGAGAAGCGGCUAGGCAGGUUACAUGGUUUAAAUUUUAACAGUCGUAAAUAUUUUCCGGAAAAGAGAGAAUUACUCUAUUCAUUAAUACAUACCGAAAUUGAGAUAAAGAAAUGUCCGUACGUACGUGUAUUCUUACGAUCAUUUCUCCUUUUGAAUAGAGAUGUAAUCGAACACGAACUGUUCGCGGUUUGACUCGAACUCGGUCAAAACUGAGUUCGAGUCGAGUUCGAGCAACUUGAUAAGGUUAUCGAGUCGAGUUCGAGCAUCUAGAAGCGAUGCUCGAAGACUCGACGAGCCUUAUCGAGUAUUUUAAUUUUAAUUAUUUAAUAUAUUAUUAUUAUAAAAUUACCUUUAUACCCAAAAGAAUUGUCGAAUUUCUCCUCUUGAAGCUCCAAAGUAACUUGCCACACCCAAUAUAUAUAUAUAUAUAUAUAUAUAUUUUUUUUAUUAUCUAAUGCAUGACAUGACCAACUUACAGGGAAAAUAGCUAACGUAAGCAAUUCUGAAAUAAGUGCGGCAAACUCCUGCAAAUGAAUGAGUAAAAGAAGAGGAAAAGUAGUGGUGUCAACUAGUUUGACAAAAGAAUGUUAUUAAAGGGAUGAAAUAUCAACUCCGUGAAGAUUCUCAUCCAAAUCAGAGAGCUAGAGAAAGUUUUGAAUUUUCUAAUAAUACUCUAUAUAUAUAUAUAGAGAAUUGGAAACAGAAUAAAAUUCAAAAAUGCAAUUGGUAUAAUCCCGACAUGAUCCAAUCUGGAGUUGAUAAAUGUACUUUGGAAUACUAAUUUACCAUUUAACUGCGGGCAUCUGCAAGUAUUUUCAAGUGUAAUAAAUAUCGAAGGCAAUAAAUAGGGAUAGAAUUUUCGCUAAAGCAGAGAGUUUUGGUACUCAAGGAAAUUGAACGCUUCAAAUUAUAGAAUGAUGUAAACCUUAAUUAGUUCGUCCAAGACUGCACCACUGCUUACGUUGUAGUGUAGAAGUUCUUUUAUUUGAUCAAUUCUUGUCCAAUUUGUUGAAAAACACUACUGAUCUAUUGAAUGGCUUUCAAAGCUAACGCGAAAAGCACUUGGAGAGAUAUCGAAGUUUCACGUAAUGCAAGUUAACGUAGAUUUGCCUCUCCUUUUACAUAAUACAAAAUGAGAAAAUUAUUUAGCAGAUGAUACCAAACUGAGCAGCUGAUGCACGCGCCACAUAGACAAGUUACAGAAACGCUAUCAAACAGCACAGUGUAUCACAGUACCAUGUAUACAGCAUAGCCAUGACUGGAAACUUCCACUUCAUGUGGCCUACGAGGAUUACAUCAUAUUGUAUACGCAUGUCACUAUGAUGAUUGAAUGAUCUCAUUCCAUUUGUAUCUACUGCAUCGUAUCUUGUCCUGUAUUACAAAAAAAAACAUUUUUUUUUUUGGGCCACGUUGCUUUCAUAUGUUUUCUAGCUUGCUAGCGUACAAAAUGCCUUCUCUCACUCGUGUGUUUGACCCUUGUUUGUUGCUUGGACGGAAAAAUAAUACUUAAACUUUUGCACCUAACACUCGCCAUAUACACAAGCAUGUGCCUCUAGAAUAGGAACGAUAUAUCUUCAAUUGAUUUUACAAUAGGGUAAUGUUAUCUAGUACCCUUGAGAUUUUUAAUAUUACACUUACCUCCUUGACCCUAUAAAAUGACCAUAAUAACCUUAAUAUAUUAAUAUUUUUCAUGUAAUUAAAUAAUACGUACACGCCUAAUCUUGUGCAUAGGAAUGCACCAACAAUUAAAUAUUUAAUGGAAACAAAAACAAGGUUCACUUAUAGAAUAACUAAUUAUGUGGUAAACAUAAUUCUAACAUAUUACAAACUAAUUUUAGCUUGACUUGAAAUAUCUAAAGAUGUAAGUUGAAGAUUUAAAUACGGGGCAUGUAUUGGUACUCCAAUAUUUGAGGGAUGAAAUGUUAUAUUAAUAUAGUUAGUGAAAUUUUUUAAAUUUAACAAUACUAAUUUUUUUUCUUUGUAACUUAGAUUGAGAUUUUAGAAUUUAGGGACUGAUGGUAGCGGUGGUCCUGUUGAUAGUGGUACUCAUUUGAGAUGUAGGUAUAUGCAAGGUUUAGAAUAGCAGAGAUAAGGGUUGAAAGUGGAUUUCAGAUUUUGUGCAUAUUCCAUAUUUUUUUUAUCGAAUUUUAUAACAAGGUAAAAUGAACUUUACAAUUUCACGAGGGCAAUUUGGGUUAUUCAUUCAAAAUUUUGACCAUUGAAUAGUUUUGUCACCAAAAUGGUAAAUUCAAGGGAGGUAUGUGUAAUUUUUAAAACCUCAAGGAAACUAAGUGAAAUUGUUAAAAAUCUCAAGGGAGGUUUCUGAAAUUAUCCCUUUACAAUAAUGUCUACGUCUAUAAAUUGCAAAUAUUUCAAGAAAGGAAAGUAUGAAACUCCUCCAUUUCUUACUUGAAAACAUCCACACGACGGCCUCCACCACCAUUAUUCUUUCAUAACUGUUACGUGCUUGUCACUUUUGCUUGAAGAAUAUUACUGGAUUUGGAAAUAGUACUAAUCCAAUUGUGGAAUGUGAUAUAAUUCAACUUUUGCAAAAGGGUCUAAUUUUGCUGAAUAUCGUACCGCUAAUCGUUUAACUUAUUUGAUAGAGCAAUGAUUCAUCCAACGUCCAAUAGCAUAGAUUCUUAUCCGCUGGUUUGCUUUAAAUUGCAAGUUGUGUCUUAUAUGAGUGCCGAACCAAGUGGAAAGUGAUCCUUUCAGUAUUCUAUUGAUCAAGACUUGAGUAUUUUAUUUUGCAUUGAUAUUUGGAUAAAUGAGGAGGAGAUAUCAGUUUUGAAUGCAAAAGGAUACACCGCCCUCUUGAGAUUGAAUUUUUCCAUUGAUACACACAAGAGUAGUUCUUCUGAAAUUGGUAACUGUAAGAAAUGACAAAAUCUGUGAAAUAUGGAAAACGGGUAAAAUAUGGAUAUGAGAAGAAUGUAGUGGUAGCUUACCUAACCAUCCAUUUUCAAACAUGUUGAAAAUAAGUUUUGAUGGAUAAACAAGUUUAGAAGUGAAAUUUGAUUAUUUGAUAACUUUAGAGGAUGUUUUUAUCUUUUCCUUUUCGUUACUUUUUUUCAUUUGAAAUGACUGCUAGUGUUUCAUAGGACAAAUUGACCGGUAAGUAUUGUAUUGCACAUUGAGAUCAUUUCUUUUGUUGAAUUUGGCAAUUUCACAGCUUCUGUGCUUGCUUCUCUUGUUUCUGUAGUGUUGCACGUUUUGGAGACUGAAAGAGAGAGAUUACCUCAAAAGCGUGAUAAACAGCCUUGAUGGACAACCAACUUACUCAAGUUGGAAUGGGAUAAUUAAUUCAGACACCUCUCCUGAGGAGGUUCUUGACAAUUGCAGCUAUCUCUGCUGAAAUUUGAAAAAUUAUGGAAACCUCCCCUAAGAAGUAUGUCUUGAUCAUAAUUAAUGAUGCAGGCAAAAAAAAAAAAAAAAAAUCCAUUGAGCAUCCAAUAUUGCCCCUUUCUGAUAUGUAAAAACAAAUCAUACGCUAAAAAUUCAACCAUCAUCAUUCUCACCAGGUAAAAAUUUCAAGCUAGCUUUUUGCAGGAAAACUUAAGUUAUGUUUUGAAAGCAUUCUUUCCGAUAAUUUGGACAUAUUUUUUGUUAAGUAAUUUCUGAAGACACUAGCUAGUUUAACAAAUGCCUCCCUAAUCUAGUGUAACGUACUAGAUUAGAUUAGAUGAUGGAUGCUAGAGUUUUGGGAUAAAGAAGUUUUACCAUAAAAGAAUUUUCAUUUUUCUCUUUUAAACUCAUUUUCAAUUAAAAUUUUGUAAAGUUUGUAAAACUUAUCAUAUAGUCUUUUCGUAGCAUUAAGAGAGGUGAGUAUAAGUUUUUCAAAUCUUAAGCAAGGUGGUCGUAAUUGUCAGAAACCUCAGGGAAGGUUUCUAAAAUUGUCCCAAUUGGAAUAGAAGGAACCGAUAACGUCCCAUGUCUUAAAGUCACCUAGUGUGAUUCUCAACCUCGUCACAAAAGUCUUUCUGACUUCAGUGGCUGUUCGGAGUUUGCAAGGCAAGAGUGGCUUCAAAUCGCACGGACUUUCAUUUCCGUGGGACAAACGAAGAGGAUAAGAGCUGGCCCUUCUAGUGGUAACACCAUUUUCUUUGGAGUGACCUAGUUGUAAAAUUAGUCAUCAUGAUUCCUGAAUGCCUGAUCCAUGAGGAGCGUACCAUUUCAGAAAAUUGAUCUUUUUUUUUUCCCGUGUUGUUUACUUAGUCACGGCAUGACUCUUGAAUAGACCAAGAAGGAUUGGACCUUACGAUAACUGAGCAUUUGCCUAAAUUGUUAAUUGUGAUUGUUCAUGGAUCAUUUCUAUGGUGAUUUCUUCUUAAGACCGUCAUCAUGGAUAAAUAAAAAAUGUGUCAGGGGGAAAAUAUGAGAAGUUUUAAUCCAACUAUGUAUGAGUGUUCGUAAAUAUGGAUGGCACAUUUGCUAAAUUUGUAUUGUAAACACUCUAGAAUUACUUUUAAGAAUGGUAUUGCAGACUAUGCCGGGAGAGAAUUCUCAAGUUUUGUGUUUUCCUCUGCAUGAUGUGAUAAGUUGCAUAUAAAUUUGCCUAAAGCCUUAAAGUUACUUAAUUCAAAUGCUAGCAUUGACGGAACAAUGAUUAGUUGCCAUAAUAUUUAGCCAUUAGAAGUUGGAGUCAGAGUUUAUAAGCUGUUUUUAAUAUGGCAUUUCACAAGAAAAAAUGUUAAAGAAAAGGGCCAAUUGCCAUGAUCCAAGGAACCAAGACGGAGUAAAGCCCAAACUGAGAAUCGUCCAACAGCAGACCCAAACGAGAAUGGAAUUCUUGAAAGGUGGCGCUGUAAUUUUCUGACAUUGGAAUUUUGAGUCUUGAAGAUGGAAAUAACCUGUUAGCACUGGUAUGAAUCUUGAAUGCAUUACCUGGAAAAUGGGGAUUAAAAUAUAAGAGCCAUGGCUGCUUCAGUCAUAAUCUGAAAGUGAAAAAAAAAAAAAAAAAAAAACUGUGUGUGAUCAUGAUACUGAUAUGCAAAUUAGAAUUUGAAAAGAAAGAACGGUCAUAAAGUUUCAGAAAUCACUUCAUACAAAUAAGAACAAAAUUUACAAACUUCAACAAUCUGCUAAUGAAGCUUAAAAAAGUUGACCACAACAUUCUUAGUUAAGAAAUUGUAUUGCAAUCUUUUGAUUCUUCUGAUCCUAUCCUUUCUCAUCCACUAUAUUCACUAUAGGUUGCCAAAAGCUGUAAUAGAAAAUGCAGUCCCAGUACAGAAACUCCUACACCACCAGCAUACAUGAUAAAAAUCAUUUCGCUGAAUGCAUGGAUUUCUAUCUGUAGGGCAUUCUUUCUCUGCUGUUCAUCCAAGGGUUUUUGUUCCAUUCAGGAGGUUGAAAAUCUAAAUCAAAUAACGAUGCCAUAGCUGCUUUAUGUGAAAAACUUAGCCAAUGUUGUUGUUGGUUGAUCCUGGCCUUUCUCAGUGAAGAAGUUGCUGCAAACAAAACAAACAAAUUUGCUUUGAGAAUUAUACAGACAUAGACUUAGGAGCACAAGAACAGAUGAUUUUCGAUGGUGGCAAAAGCUACGCUUGGGCGAGAAUUAAAAAAACCAAAAAAGAAGUGUUAAAACACCAUACCACCACUGCUUCUGUCUGAUUUUGCCAAACAAGAAGGUACUAAUGACUUCUGCAAUCUGACUGAAUCAUGGAACAUCAAUGUGUUGCGACAUAUGAUUUCUCUGUUCAAUGUAGAAUCAAGAAGACGGAAACCGUACUUUUCAAUCCAGUUGCUGAUCCUCUCAGAUGUGGAUGGAAUGACCAGACUUUCAACAUUGAGGUAACAAAGAGCCUGAAAGUGAAAUCAGUUUGAGAACUUUUUUGAAGAACUAUAUGGAUUAUGGUAACUAGAAGAGAAAUAGAAAGGAAAUCAAAUACAGCAGAGCAAAAAAAUCUCCAUGAAAACCACUAGUGAACUAUAAAUAAUAUUCGUAAAGAUUCAAAUGUGGACUUAACUGAUUCAAUUGCGACCAUAAGCUUUUUGCACAUUCCUUUGCACCUAUACUGAUCGCUGGUUGCAAUGAAAGGCAUCUCAGCAAGCUUUGUCCCAUGAAUCCUGCGGGUGAAGGUUAAUGAGAUACUUAAACUGAAAUCGAUGCGCACGUGAAGAUGUAAGAGGAGAAACCUCAAGGAUGCCACAGAGAUAAUUUCAUCAUCCUUUUCCAAGAGGGCAGUAUAAAACCCCCUAAAUUGGAUUCUCUUGAAGUUUGCUCUGUAAAAAAGUUAUUACAAAGAAACAAAAUGUUCACUUUUGGUAGUCGUGAAAACAAAAUAAGACACAGAAAAUGAUAAAUUUACAUCUGUUGAUGGGCAAAGAAAGAUCAAAAGUAAGAUGAAUUUCAUCAUCUGCAUCAGAGGAAAGGAUUCGUCCAUUUAUUAUUCUUCUAGAAAAACUUGAGGAAUUUUUUGUGUAGGGAGGGAACUAGAGACAUAUGAUAGUGAUUGCACAAUAAACCUACCCGCAAUUAUAAACAACACUACGAAUCACAUUGAUUCUAGUAUGGCGGUCUACAAUUGGCUCAAAGCAGUCCUCCAUCAAUCUCAGUGCAACAGCAAGCUUGGAGUGGCAAACGAUUCUUUUGUAUGUGUCAUCUGUGUAACUACCUGUGUCAUUGUCCAUGUGAUGAAGCAAACUCCAGGAGAAACCUUCAUCAAGCUCAUUUUUCAAUCCAACUAGGUGUCUCUCCAACUUAUCAUAAACCUUUCCAGAAAAUUUGUAUUUAGUGCUUAAUGAACUGAUAAGUCAGAACUAAUCAUGAAGAAAAUCCAGUUCUUCAAGCUAGAGUCAAGAGAAGAUUGUUAAUCAUGCUUCAUUAAGAUUACCUCUUUGCAGCGCCCCUCGCAAAAAGGUGCACAUGGCAGACUGUUGAGAUCUAUUAUCUUCAUUUCUCUCCGCAGAUGGCAGUUCCAGUGAUCUGUAGAACAGACAAAGCUUAUAUUUAUGCCUUAACAUCUUAAUAACAAGUUCUCACUAGAGAAAGAAAAGAAUAAAUAAUAGCAAUGAAUGAGAUAGGUGCAUGAAAAUUUAGGAAGAUUAACGUGUUACGCACAUUUCUGUUCACAUUGAGGACAUUCAAUUAAAUAGUCAUUGUCGUGAGCCGGAUUUCUGCAGAAUCUGCAAACACAGUAUGGACAAUACCAAGAUCCUCGAGGAACCUCCUGAACCGAGAUUAGAACAAGUAACAUUUACCUAAUUUCUUAAGGUCACUAAUUAGAGUAUCAACUGAAAUUGUGGUAACAUCAGUCUUACCUUCAACUGAAUGCAAUCUUGAUGGUAUGUUGAAUUACACACCUCACAACACAUUAAGUUUCCUCCAUCUGCACAGAUCAUGCAAGCAUCAUCGUACGAGUCACUUGCAUUACCUCUAGUCUGAAUGCGAUUGAAUUUACGACUUUCACAUUCUUCUGGCAUAUUCCAAGCUCUAAUCAUGCAAGAUAAAAGAGAGUUUUGAUUCUUGGAAGUGAAAAUCCUUUCAUAGGGUUUAGCAGAUUGCCUCCCACAAUGAAUACUAAAGUUUGCUACAGUAAAGAUCUUAUCGCAACAGUUGCAUAAUAUGCCCUCUCUCCUGAUUAUUCCCUCCUUAAUGAUCUUCUUGCUGUGGUCAUCCAUAUAGAAAACUUCUGCAUUUUCUUCAAUUGUUUUGGAAUCUAUAAGCCACGAAAAUAUGGUUGCUUUCAUCUUCCACUUCUCAUUCUCAUCCUCUUGAUUUCUUAUUCUGCUAGCAGAAUACCCUUGAUUCUCAUGGUCAUUCUCAUUUUCUGAACUUCUACCACUUCUGUCUGUGGAGAAUUUGUUUUCUUGGUCAAAUUCAUCUUUAAUUUUCCUAUUCCAUCUAGAAGUGGAGCUUCUCUUGAUUCCAAAGUUGAUUCUUUCAAUCUUCAAACAACCAGGCUCCUUCCUUGCUUGUGCCAUUCUGGAUGUUUUGAUCGGUUUCACCUCCCUUGCUUGAUGUCUUUCUUCUUCGAUGAACGUGUUGGUUUUCCUCUCAUUGUUGAAGUUCCAGCUGUGAAUUGAAGACCGUUAAUGUCACAACUGCUGUGUCUCUGCCAUCCACUUAAGGAAGUGAACUUUUCUUUUCUGGACAGCCUUUGAGCCCACCUUGCAGUGUAAUCAGGAUCCUCAGCAUUGUCUGAGCUACAUGAACUUGAUGAAUUGCUGCUUUGCUUCUUCCUUCUAUGCGAUUUUCCAGCCAUUCAAACCAUAAAGAACUCCAAAGAAACACCAAAUUUGUGCUAGAAUUUUGGGUUUAAGGAAUACUGGAAAGUUAUGAGAAACAAAUGACAUAAAGAUUGAAGCAAAAGCCAUGUAAGUACAGAUUUCUGCAGGCUUAUAAGGUAUCAUUUGAAUCCUUAUGUCAAGGAAAAUCAUUUUGAUUUUCUUGCUAUGGUAUGGAUUCUAUUCACUCGCCUCAUUAAAACUUUGUGUUGUCAACGGAAAUUUCAGAGUAGUAACUGAAGACAAAAGAGGAAUAAAGACAACUAGCUUUUCAUACUACAUUGAAAGGGCAUUUUACUACAGAUAGAGUUUGAUCGUUUAGAAGUUGCAGUAGGUUCAAACUUCAAAGAUGCUUCUGUUGAGGUCCAUUUGUAGAAUUUUACAGUGUUGCCUGUGCUAUUACUGCUGAGUAAUUUGUACAAUGAACUUCCACUUAAACAUGGCCCUUAAGAUGUUAUUGUAAGAUAAGGUGAAUAACAAAUUAUUCAAGAGAAAAGUGUAUCAUGCUCAUUAUCUUGUCUAAAAUGGAAUAGGGCAUCUCCUCAUCACUUUCAAUAUAGUACAGUUGCCUCAUUGCAUGAAGUACUGAUUGGAAGGUGGAUUUUACAUGAACUUUUUCUAUAUGAAACGGGGAAAAUCCUGAACGAGUUGUCAAGAAUGCCCUUUUAGUUAAACUAUUUUAGAAUUAUUGGACUAUACUGAUCAUCCUAAUGCAAAAGAACAAGAUCACCGCUUACAACUUUCAAGUUGAUGAUUAUAGGUGAUUUGCAUCAUCUUGAAUAGAACAGACAGUAAAAGAUUUGCUUGUUUUUCACUCCAUAUGAGCGCAUUAUUGAAGUAUUAAUUACCACAAACAAAAUUUCACGUGUAUGAAUCCUAUUUUACCAUCAAAUGAGGUAAAACUCAGUAUAUUGCUAAAGUUGAAAAUAUGCCACCUGGGCCAUUUCUGUCAAGUAAGCAUAAUAAAAGGGAAUAUUCCAAGAAAAACAGCUCUAUAGUAUCCGAGUACUAAGCAGAUAACACUGUCGACUUGGUAGUGUAAAACUGUUGAAACUCUUUCAUCUUUAAAACUUUGAUAUGGCUACACGUGAUGUUUUAUCUUAAAUGUACACGAAUUUUGCAAAUCAUGCACAUUGAAUACGCGAGAAGCCCACUUUUUGGUUUAUUUGGGAGAUCUUUUACAAUAAGCAGCUUUAUCUUAUAGCAAGAUUAAGAAAAUUUCUAGAUUUUCUAGGAAGCUUCAGACGCUUUAAUUUGCCAAGUGACAUGAACGAUUUCAAGGUACCUAGACUAACUUCUUGAGAAGUCCCUGAUGCAGAUAAUUAGAAGGAAUCAGUCCGGACCAGCGGCAAAUGAAAAGUUAUAAUUAAAAGAUGGGGUCUAACCGUAGACUACAAAUGGUGCGAAUUUUGGAAUACAUGGAAGCAAUUUCUUACGGAUACAAUUAAUCGAUUGUAAAGAUAAGAAAGGUUGAGAAAAAUUACUUAAUUCUAUGUAAGGAUAUAUUACAUUGAACCUAAAAAAAAAAAAAAUUUGAAUCUUGGUAGGGAGAGAAUUGGAUUAGGUGGUAAGAUGGAAGGGAUUACAAUUAAAAGAUCUUGGAUCAUUGGUAUAAACAUAGGACCCUUUAAUCCAAAACAUAGGUAUAAAUAUUGAACCUUGGUAUUCAUUUGCAUAAACAUAGGACUCUUAAUCCAAAAAUAAAUAAAUAAUUAAUUAACUAAAAAUGAAAGAAAGAAACAUCGUGACUAAUUCCUUACUGCCAAUUCGCUUUUUAAAUCCCAUUCAUUCCCUACUGAAAAAUUAAAAUAAAAAAAGAAACGUCACGACUCUUUCUUUGGUCAUGUUACUAAAGUCUACAAUGAAAAUAAGUUUAAUAAAUAUUGAUGAAAAUUAAGUAACUACAAACCAAAACUAGUCAUCUAAUUGUGAAUAUAUUAACCAUAGUAGAGAGUCACUACAAUUUACCUAAAAAGUAUGUUAUCUUGACCAAUUAGUGUUACAAAAAUAGUGUGCCCUUGUUUUGCUUUUGUUUUUAAUAUCUUCAAUGAGAAACAUGGACUUUGAAUUCUACAUUCAUACUUUCAUGUCAUGUUACACAAGACCUCACUUACACAACAAUCUGAGCUAAAAAAAUAUUUCAAUUUCAAAUUAUGGACACAUAUUCAAUACUCCAAAAUCUACAAUUAUAACUCUUAUCACUUAAGUUUUGAACCGCACCUACAAAAUAGAUCAAUAACACAUUCAUAUGUACAAUUUCCUAAUUGGGGAAGAAUAUCACACUCCUGUAUAGGGAUGGCAACGGGAGCGGGUGCCCGUGGGGGUCAUUGGGGCGGGGGUUGGGGCGGGGGGAAUUUUUUUCCCCCGUUUAGAAACUGGGCGGGGGGCCCACCACCCAUUUAAAAAACUAUAUAUAUAUAUGUACAUAAUUAUAUAUAUAAUGAUAUUUUUAAUUAUACUACUAAUUAUACAUGCUAUUAAUAAAAAUUAUUAAUUAUUUAUACUAAAUUUAUUAAUACAUUUAUGUUAAAUUCCUAACUACACUUAAUACAAUAACACUUUUUCUAAAAAAAUAUAAUAAUAAUUUAGUGAUUGUAUUGUUAUCAAAAGUGAAAAACUUAAUUAUUUUAGUUAUAUUUGUUUUAUCACAUUAGAUUGCAUUCAAAUAACCUUUGUUUAAUUAUUUUAUGAGUUUCAAUAGUGAAGUUAUAAUGAAUAAUAAUUUGGUGAUGGUUAAUAUUUUAAUACUUGAUUAUUUGCUCAAAUUUAAUUAUAAUAAAAUUAUAUAAUAAAAUUUAAUGUAAUUUAAUUUUGUACUUCCCCCGCGGGUGCCCCCACGGGAGAAGCGGGGCGAGGAAGCCGAGGGCUAGGGAAUGGGAUGGGGGCGGGGGAAUUAAAAUGCAACGGCGGGGUUGGGGGAGAUGUCCCCCGCCCCACCCUGCCCUAUUGCCACCCCUACUCCUGUGAAAUAGGUAGGUACUAAAUAAAAGGUAAAAGUAGUAACAAAAUAGUACAAAAUGCUGAUAAGGGUGGUUUCGGUAAAUUCAAAACCUCAUAUGGGUUCUUCCCUAAUUAUGAGAACACCAGGGUGGUCAAUGUAAUUAGCCUGAAGAAAUCUGAUUUUGGCACGGGACCACCUUAUGGCCGGGAAUUUGAAAACUUUUCCCUAUUCGCGCCAUCUAUCGCUCUAACAUGAGAAAUCAAGAUGUUGGAGCAGAAUAAAAUACACAUAAAGUUACGAUCUUUGCCCCCUCUAGUGCUGCAUUUCAUCGUUUUGGAUAAUGGUUCAGAUUCCUUAUCGCUUCCUUCAGGUUUGUUUGAUCUCUGAAAUAAUCUUCAAUUUCUCUUCUUAUUUUGAAAUCUUUGAGCUUCUUGCAUUGUCCAUAAGACGUUCUUUUUUGCCUGUGUGAUGUUAAGGAAAUCAUAAAAGCAGGUUCGUUUAUUGGGAAACUGCUUGGCAAUCAUUUCUUUCUUUUCUUUUUAAUCGUUUUCUAUAGUUUCGUGUUUUGAGUUUCAAAAGUUUUACUGGGAUUUUGAUUUUUGUUCAUAUAGGCCUCCAUAUAUAGCCAAGUGGUUCCCAAGUUAUGUAUACGAGUCUCCAGAAUUGAAUAGUAUCGAUGAUUUUAAAGAUUCUGGUCGUCCCAUAUUAGCUGAAACUGGGGAGAACGAAGAGGAAAAGGAAGGGAAUUUUGAUGAAACGGUGUACUCAAAAAAAGGCAUGAUGUUUUGCUUGCUGAUGGGAAGGAUACUUCAGAUGGCUUUCUCCAGUCUAAUAGCAUUGCUAGAUUGACAACCGGAACAUUGAGGUCAUUAUAUCCUCUCUUCUCUCUACUUCAAUUGCAAAGAAUGUUGAUUAAUUGAUAGGACGUUUUAUAAAGUAUAAAGAGAUAAUUGGUAUUGUGGUCGUUCACGAUUACAUCAUUAUAAUCAUCUUACAGAUAGGAAUUAUGUCAAUGUAGUGUGGUUAUUGGCUCUAAUUAUUAGUGACCAAGGAGGUACAUUUGAAUUGAUAUUCACUAGGAUUCAUCGUAUGGGUGGCUCAAAGCAUUUAAUUUGCUGAAUGGGCCACUGCAAAUUUAAUUUUUACAGUGGAAUUAUGAAAGAAUGAAAUAAUGUAAGAAAAUGAGCAGAAAAAUGGUGAUCUUUGUCAUAUAUGGAAUGCAACUAACUGAUGGUGUUAAGAGAUGGUAGCAUAGUUCCUUGUGCAAAAUACUGCAGCUGGUCAUGACUUUAUCCACCAUGGAACAGUGGGAAAGUCUCUGAAUGGCCGGUGAUCUGAAAAUCUCCAUUAAUCAUCCACACCAAAAUCAAGAGGGUCAACCAAAAUCCUUUCUUUAGAGGUAAUCGGCAUUAAUAAGCCAAUCGCCAAAUUGAUGUUCCUGACAAGCAUCAGUUACAUAGGCUCAUCCAGAUUACCAGUCUGAGACACUGUAACAACAGUUUGCCUCAAUUGCAAAUCAGUUAUGCUAAUGAUAUCUGUUAAUUGACCAGUCAAGAUGAUCGUUCAGGGAGACAUAAAACUCCACUGAGAUUGAACUGAUUAUUUCAGUUUUCUUCUCUGUGCACUGGUAUCUUUGUGAUUCAAACUUUUUGGGUGUCAGAUGUAGGUAGUUUAUUGUGAGGACUUGAUUUUAUUACCUUGCUUGCUGUCAAUUAGGAAUGUAAAAAUGGUGUCCUUGUAAAGAAGGCCUUUCAUUCCAUAAUCUACAAUUCUGUUUCAUCUGACAAGUUCGUGGAAUGAACUCUGUGACUAAUGUUUGGCAAGCAUUAAAAACGUAAAACUGCCCAAGUCUAUGAGCUGAGAUCUCAAAUUAAAAGGUUUGAUUCCCUCUUUAUUUGUCCAAUUCAAACUGCUGUCUUUUCAUUCAUAUCUAAAUUAAGAUGCAGUGAAAUUUUUGGGUUGUUAUCUUUAGCAGAGAGAUGAAUAUUUAUGUGCUAGUUGAAUUUCAAUAUUUUGUCUUGUAGGUUUUGAAAGAUUCAGAUUCCCUCUCACUUUCUUCGGGUAUGCAUGACCAGUCCAGUUACUUUAUCUUUAUAAAGAAAUGCUCGGUGUUGUCUUCUUACAUCAUGGAAAACUUGAAUAUUUGGAUUCUUGGUUUGUGUAUGCAUCGGUUUCAAAAGUCUGAACCCAUAAAACUAUUAACAAUAUCUGGACAAUCCUUGACUUCGUAUUUCUUUGUGUUGAUAUCAGUGCCUCCAGAUGUUAGGAAUUGGUUCUCUAGUUAUGAAUACGAAUCUCCAGCAAUUAAUACCAGCUACGAGUUCAGUUCACAGCCUCCUGGAAAUGUGUUUGAUGAAGAAUGUAUCACAGGGAAAGAAGACAAAUUGAUUAGGGCAACUAAGGCAGUUCAAAAGAAUGAUUUGGAAGGUCAGAAAACUUCUUUUGGGCUUGUCAAAUGUACCAACUCUGGCAGAAAAAAGGAGUAUGAGCACCACUCCUUCCCUAAGGUAUUCUUGAUUCUUAUUUUCUGCUAAAAGCUGUUCUGGAUCGACCAGAUUUAUGUCCUUGGGAAAUGAUGCUUGAAAUUGACAAGCAAGUUUUCAAGAAUAUAAACUCAAGUUUUUCUUUUUUACACGUACAUGACCAAAGGCUGAUAGCUUAUACAAGUUCCAUUUAACUACUUGCGUUCAACCUAUAACCUUGUAACAACAGAUCAUGAAACACCUAAUUUCUGAGUUGUAUUAACUGAUUUGCAUCGUUCAACUCUGAAUACUGCAAUUGCUACCCUGCUGCAGUCUGGGUUUUGAGUUUGAAUUUCUCCCAUUCUGGCUUUGACAUGUCUAAGAGAAAGGAGAUAUUUUGUCAGUGAUUAUUUGGCUUCAAACCUAUGACACUUCUAGAGGAUGAAUUUGACAUUUGUCUCUUUGAUUACCAUUUUAUCUGUGGCUGGUAUAAAUGACACCACAGUCAUUAGCAGCACCAAGAUUUGCUUUUAGCACUUAUUGCACCAUAACAUUCUUGGUCGUGGAAAAGAAUGGUUCAAAACAAUCUCUCUAAGGUACUCUGACUCUUUUUUUCUUUUUUUCUUUUAUUGAAGGGAAUUUGUUGUUGCUUUUGUUACAUAAUCUGGCAUUGUGUUAGGAGUCAAAUAAUUUAAAGACACCUCAGAUUUUCACAUGCUUAAGAAGCUUGUAUGCGGCGAAAGCAGUAACAAGUAUCAGUGAACUAUCCUUUGCUUCUCAUUUACAGGAUAUACUAAAGGCUGAUGGAGAGAAAAACUCAGCUAUACUAAAUGACUUGACUCCUCAAAGGCGUUCAUGUCAAAUUCUGCCCUUGAAACAGAUGUUGACCACGGUAAAGGUUUAGCGGAAGGUUUUGAAACUAUCAAUCCAAAAUGGAAAAAGCCCUAUUGAUGCUUUAAAUGCUAAGUUCAAUGCGGAGCAUAGUCAUAUGAUGUUGAAUAUCAAAAGUGGGUCAGGUAGCAAGAUGGGGAACUCGCCUCAUAAGGCAAUUCAGAGCAGGGUUCCAAUAGAAGAGAGCGAUAAGCCUGAACAUUUUACCAUAGUUACUACGACUAGACCACCUACAGAAAACUUGGAGUACCUGGUAAACCAAAAACCAGAAAACGAGGCUCCUGGUGGACAAGAGAAUAAAGAGAAUGCCAGGACAGGGUUUGCAGAAAAUGGGUUCAUUUCGAUGAGGAGGAGCAAGGUAGGUGAUGGAGAGAAUUCUUGCAAAGGGCCACUUGCAGGUGAGUCUUAUUCUUCUAGGAAUGGAGCCACAGUUCCACCAAGAGGCAACAAGGAGGCUACAGCAACAAGAAAGAUUCUCUUGGACACAACCAAUUUCCAAGCUCCUAAUCUGUUGGAAGUUACUGGAAAAUGGAGGUGUCCUCAAAAAGAGUAACCAACUUAGGCCCUCCUUUGAAGCAGCUCAGACUUGAACAAUGGUUCGUCGGGUCUAAACUUGUCUAGACAUCCUCAAAAGAGGAAUGGAUUGCUGCAAUUCCGUUAUCUAGACAUCCUCAGAAAGGCAAAAGGCAACAACCUGUAGACUACUAUAUGUUCUAAGAUGCUGAAGUAAUAGCUACUCAGGCGUUUGAAAAUAAUGUACCAAUUAGAAGAAUUGUCUUCUGCUUACACCGAAACUGCGCAUUUGCAAGCUAGAAAAUGCAUGUAGAUCGAAAAACUCAAGAUCUCAUGUCUUGAGCCUUCAAAUAUCAGAACUGUCCUUUGACAUGAUCUAAAAACAGUUACGGAUAGAGUGCCAUAACAAAUGAGACUGCAAAAUAUCAGCUCCAUAUACAUGCAUUGUAUGUUUGGCUAACGAGUGCCCCUUAAGAAGGUUCUUAGGCAUUAGUUUUUGGGAAUAGUGUCAUUAAUUUGGGAAAAUGUCUUAACUGUAGGGAUACAAUGAUUGUGAUUAUGUGUAUUAAUAUGAUAAAUUAGGUGUGAUUUAGGUAUACUAACAAAUUUUUACCUGGCACAUGUUAGAAAACCUCUAUAAUUAUAGGUUUUCCAAAAAGCACUUGCUUAAGAGAGCCCUUUUUUUUGGUGGAAAACUUGAUUAACUUGGUAAAGUAUGUUGAUGCAAUCUGGAAAUAUAAAUGUGCAUUUUGUCCAAUAAAGUUGGCACAAAUUAGUUAUAUUAAUGGGUUCCCUUUCAAGGAGAGGAUAUUGACAAAGGAAAUAUUUUUAUUGAAUAUUACGGUAUUUGGAAUAAAGUUGGAUGGGGAGAAUUAACUGUUAGAAUUUUCACAAACAAGAAUGGAAAUAAUGCUCGACAUGAACCUUGUCCGAUAAUCCAAUUCAGCAUUUAAAUUUAAUGAGUUUAGAUUUUAAUAUGUUCACGUGUAUUUGAUAACAAAUAGAACAUCUGAAUUAGUUAAGAAUUAAUUGAGUGGUACUAAAUUUUGUAGACAAAAUAUGUGAUAAACUAUUCACUUAUUACUUAGUGUAAUAUAUAUUCAAAUAUAUUAGAUUUAGUAUUUAACAAUUUAGUAAUUUAACGGAUUCAAUCUUCAAAUUUCACGAUUUUAGUUUUCAAACAUCAAUUUUAUCAAUCACGCUCGUAGUGUUUAGAAGCUUAAUUAAGCAAGAAUCAAAAAGAAAUAUCUUGGAGAAUAAUCACCACGUACAUGGUACUCUAACAUCUAGCCUAUUCAAUGCUUGUGACUGCGAGUAUAUGGAUUUUAAAGAAAUGUCCUUCAAACUCUAUGGUGUAUGAAAUUUCACAGGGAAUAUUUCAUCUUGUGUGAUAAUCGUUUUGAGUUUUUGAAAAUACUCAGACCUUCAGAAACUAAAGAAAUAAGUCUUUGCCUGCACAGUUGCACAUGAGUCUCCGUGCGUCCAAAAUCUUCAGCUUUGCUUCUGUUUUUCAGAGGGCUCCAUGAAGGCCUUCAUUAGUCCAAAAUGGAGUUGGGGCAUUAAAUAAGACUUGUUUAUUCUCUAUAUACUCAAAAAAAAAAAAAAAAAGAAGGAAAGAAGAAAAAGAGUACAAGACCAUACAGUACCAAUGCAUGCAACUGGACUAUUAUAUGUGUAAGGUAAUAUUUAGUAUUUCAAAAGGGGCUAUGGUUCAAGAUCAAAAUUCACUAUUGAAUCUGGUAUUUGAAAUUAUAACAACACUAAAACCUAGGUUGCAAUGUCUUGGACCUAUAUUGUGCAUGGUAUAAAAAUUAUAUACUAUUUCAUUUUAUUAAAAUAAGUGAGGGAUUUUUGGAGUAUUUUGAUCAAAUAGAAAAAUUUUCCAUUAAUGGUGUACGUUACAUGGAGAUCAAAUUAGUAAAGGGUUUUGAAAUUUAUUGGUGGUGUUUGAAUGAUUAUCUUCGACUAAGACUGUAUUAUAUGAAAUUAAGAGUUUUCAAUUACAAAAUGUUUUGUAACUUACAAUUAUAAUUCGAACACGAUUUGAAUAGCUAAUAAUUUUCAACAUUUUUUUAGUGAAUAAUUAUUAUAAGUGUAAAUUAUGUUUUGACUAGUUGUGUAAAUACGGGUAAUUGAGAUGAAAAAAAAAAAAAAAACUAACUACAAUUUAUGUUUGAGAGUUGCAAUUGUCUAAUUUUCAUUAUUGAAUGUUUGCUUUUUUGUUCUAGUUGAACAACGGCGUAAGAAGCAUGCCAAUGAUCAUCACAGGAACCUGUACUUUCAACAUAUUCUUGACUAGUUUAACAUACAGGUGUUAGUACUGAGGCAAGCAUAAUUCAAUUAACAAGCGCUUUGAUUUGUUAAGUUGUUAAGCUGAAAUCCCAAGUUGUUCAUUGGAAAACAAAAAAAGUCUCAUCCUCUUUGUCAAACAAACUUCGUUGCCUGUUGUCGCGAUCAAAUUAGUGACUUGGCAUGACAUGAAAAUAAAGAAAAGAAAAGAAAAAGGGUGCGGUUGAAGCAAAUGAUCGGCUCCACAAAUCCUUAAAAGGAACAGAAAAGAAAGAUAGGGAAAAGCCAGCAAUGGUUUUUUUACCUGCUGUAGCAAAAUCAGCAGGCCAGCAAUGGCUGAAGCAAAAACCGAAGCCCAUUUCAUCUUCUCAACAACUGCUUUUUCACCUCAAGAAAUUCAAUAUAAAUCCACACGAAGAAUGGAAUCGCCAGAGUGUUCGAACCCUGAUUUUGCAGUCUACUUCUGAUUCCGUCAAGCUUCACAAACUCGAUGACUCCGAUUCCGGUAACUCCAUUUUCCUUGUACGCUUUUAGCCAUCAGUAUGGUAAAAAUACGAUCUUUGUCUCUGAGUUCAUCAUUUUUCAAAGCCCUUUUGCCCAUUGGAUGUAAUAUUCAGUUUCUUUAAUUUAAUUGUUUUAAUCCGUAUUGUUUCUUUUUUUUUUUUUUGAAUUAUUUGUUUACUUUAUUGUCAUGGGUCAUAUGCCUGCUACAGGCUCCAUGAGUAAGGGAGGGAUUAGCAGCAUUUUGUUUUUUUUUCCUUUUUGUUAGAACGUCUACUCGUAUUAAAAUACAGAGAAGAGUUAACAAAAGCCUUACAGUAUAUUGAGAAGUGCCCAAAGAUUACUCUACAGCCUGUGUUAAUCACAGUGGGAUUAACCCGAACCAUUGAAUUUACCGGUUAAUCUCUGAUGUAUAUCUAGCAGUUUGAAUACUAAGAGCAUCAUCAGCUCUGUUGACAAACUAAUAGGACCCCUGUGAAACAUGGAGCUUACCAUCUUGAGGUCCUCUAGGAAGACAACUAUGAAACCAUCCUGACAAAUUUUUGAAUUGAUCUUUGCUACCAAGAGACGUUGCGGUAAUAUUGUUUCUCCAAUCUGCUUCUAAUGCCUUGAUUAGUGCCAGCUUUAUAGCUUCUGCUUCACCUUGAUAUAAGUAAUCAGUCUUCCUUUCAUUGAGAGCCCAUCUGAUUACAAACAUUCCUCACCGUCCAGUGCCAUCACACCAAUUUCUGAAUGACAUAAGUUGGCCAUGCAAACUACCAGAUCAACACAAAAGAAAAGAAAAAAAAUUUUAUUGCGAAAAGAGAUGGCCUAAUGGGUGAGAGAAAAAAAUAAAAAAAAGGUUUCACUUUGGAUGGAGCUAUUUCAACUUGAAACUGGGACACUGAGGAAAGAUGGUUGCUCUUUAUUCUUUUUAUUGUGAAGAAAGGAGAGGAAGGAUUUCACGUUAUCCCUUAAACUGAUAUAGUAAAAAGAAAUGAUAUUCUCUCCGAAGUCUGACAAUCGGAAAAUCUUAACUAGGAUAAUUCACCCGUACUUUUAAGUCACUCAUCAUGGUUUGUUAAAAGUUCAUAUGGUAAAGUUAUAUUUGGACUGUUUGGAGUUUGGGCUGUCUAUUAGGGCUCUGCAAGAAAUGGUGAACUGUAAUUUACUGUAAUAUAGUUACUUACUAAUAUGCUCUUUUGGGUUUUCUGGACCAAGAAAUAUGUUUGAAUGAAACUUGUCCUGUCAACUCAGUAACCAACUGUGCAUACUGAAGAAGCAUAUUCUUGCUUACAGGAGUUGUUGAAGUUAACUUGGAUAGGCCUGGAGCAAAAAAUGCAAUAAGUAAGGAUAUGUUACAUGGGUUGCAGCGAAGCUUAGAAGCUGUUUAUAAGGAUCAUUCAGCAAAGGUUUUGAUGAUCUGCAGUUCUGUUCACAAAGCGUUCUGCGCUGGUGCUGAUUUAAAGGUGAAUAUCAUCUUUAGUUUUAGAUUGAUUUGAUAGUAUGUGAUGUAUAUGUUGAACAGUUUAUUUAUUUAUUUUUUAAUCAGAAUUGAAAAAGAAAAGAGAGAUAGAGAACAGGUGUAUAAGCUUCAUUCGUGAGAUUAGAAUAAUAUUUCUGAGGCCUAAACUCUUGUCAAUAUCUUUGAAAAAUGUCCACAAUAAUGGAGUUUAAAGAUGAUUCUCCACCUACAGCAUAUUUAAACGUCACAAGGCUUGAACUACUUGAAGGGAGUUCUAUGGUUUUCAUUAAAUAAGAAUGGCUUCAAAAGGAUUAUCUUUAGGGAGCUUAGAAAAUAAAAGUCUAAUUUGGAACAGUCAAAAAAUGCAUUAGUAGGUUCUUGGCAGCUGGAUAGGUGAUUUACAGAACUUAUAGAGAUUUAGCUUCGAUAAGGAUGCUAAAACAUUGUGAUGAGCGUCCAAGAUUUGAUUGUGACCGUUGUUGAGCAGAGAAUGAAUUCCGCUGAGUUUGAGGACUGUGUCUAGUCAAUAACACAUGCACCUACAAAGGUUAUAAAGUAAAAUGACCAGAGAAACAACUCAUUGGCCAACAAGAUAUUUCAGUUACAAUGAAAGGUACACUUGUUAGAGUCAAAAUUUUAAUUGUAGUAAAACAAAAUCAAUCCUACCCAUGAUGCAAGCUGAAUUAUAAAUGCUUCAAGAGUGAUGAUCUGUAAAGCCCAUUAACCACUUGUUUGUUAAUGAAAAAUGAAGUCAAGGUCAAUCUUAUGCUAAUUGCCCUUCUUGAAGAUUUGUAAGCGGAUAUAAAUGUAAUAAAGCAUUUCUUAUGUUAACUAUUUCAUGCAUAGUUAUUAUGGAAUUGUUCUCAACCAGACAAUGGAUAUUUCGCUAAUUUAAUUUACCAAGCAAAAUUCUAUAUGCUGUAUGAGUGCUUCUUCAGGGUAUUGUCUAUUUCAUUUUUGGUCUUUCUUGUUUCUUAGUCCAUAAUCUUGUUAGAGUUCACUUGCUUAAUGGUGCCUUUGCUUGAAAUGGGAUCCAUAGGAAAGAAAGACAAUGACUCCAGAUGAAAUUCAGAAUUAUGUAAAUUCUCUGCGAUCAACAUUCUCUUUUUUGGAGGUUUGUACUCAUUCUCUGUUACUAAGUUGUUAAUAUGUUUUUAGUUUUGUUUGACUAUAAAGCUGUCAGAGUAGAUCUGUAUAACCUCCGCCCUAAUGUGGAGCUCUUCUUGAAUAAAGACUUGUGUUGCCUUUAGGGACUGCACAUACCUACAAUUGCUGUUGUGGAAGGUGCAGCACUGGGUGGGGGACUGGAAAUGGCAUUAUCAUGUGAUCUCCGGAUAUGUGGUAUUUAUCUAUUGAGCUUCAAAUUGAAGUCCUUUGUUUUGUGUUGUUAUAUGUACUGUUGUGAAUUUAUUGGUCCGCAAUAACUGAUGCAGGGGAAGAUGCAGUAUUUGGCUUGCCAGAAACAGGACUUGCUAUAAUCCCAGGGUCUGUGUUGCAUUUGCUGUUGAUGUUGUUCUAGUUUAUGAAUAUGCUACCUCUACUUGUGCCAUCUCUUUGAAUCUAUCUUUUUAAACAUUUAUCAUUUUGAAACAUUUCAUGUUUCUUGAUUUGGUGCGUCAGUAAUGUCAGAAUGGUACUAGUUCCCACCUCAGUAUACAUAUUUGUUGCUGCAUGUUGUAUGAAUCAUGUCUAGCUUCUUUCAUGGUUUCUUUUGUAGCUGAAAAUAUUUUGUAGUAAUCUUUCAUAUGAUGUAAAUUGUAGCCUUUUUCAGGGCUGGUGGAACACAACGGCUUCCUAGAUUGGUUGGGAAAUCACUAGCAAAAGAAAUUAUAUUUACUGGUCGAAAAAUUGGUGCUAGAGAUGCACUGUCGAUGGUAUGCUUAGUUUAAGCUGCUAUCCACUGUUAGUGGUUAUGGUGGCUAAAAAUGAUAAGAGUUGCACUAUCCUGCAGGUCUGGUGAAUCACUGUGUUCCUGCUGGUGAAGCUCGCUCAAAGGCACUUGAAAUUGCACGAGACAUAAACCAAAAGGUACAUUAAACAUGUGAUUUGAAUCAGAAACAUGAAUUUGCUGUGUGUAGGAUCAUAUUUCUAUAACUUGUUCGAAUUUUUAUCACAGGGGCCAUUGGCGAUAAGGAUGGCAAAGCGAGCCAUUGAUGGGGGCCUUGAGAUGGAUAUAGCAUCAGGCUUAUCAGUUGAGAUGGAUUGCUAUCAGCAGCUUUUGAACACGAAAGAUCGGUUGGAAGGUUUAGCUGCCUUUGCUGAGAAACGAAGGCCAAGUUACAAUGGUGAAUGAAAGUUAAAAAAUGCAGAAUUGUAGUUAUGUGGUUGGAGCUGCAUUUGACCAACCCAAGAUGGGUAAAAGUAUGUAUUAGCUUUUGUACAUGAAAGCCAGGAACUCCUUUUUGGGGCUGAUUGAGCUGUUGCUUUUGGAUAAUUGGUUGGUUCAUCAAGUUCAAUUGGUUGAUCAAAGCUUUAUAUGCUGAUUUCUCAACUUUUGUGCUGUAAAUUUCUGUGAAAAAGACAAAACUAUACAUUGACAAAACUCCCACAUCUUUGAAAUGGAUGGUAGUUGCAAAAAUUUGAGAUUCAACGAGCUUGUUCAGUGCAAGACCAUGAAUCAGCAGGGUUAUGCUACUAGACAUAAGUCGUGCCUUAACAAGAUGGGCUUUCUGAAAUUGAGCACGAUGGAAAAAUUUUGCCGCCAUUAAAAAAAAAAAAACAAUUCUUGAUCACAAGAAAAUGAACAAAUGACAAACAUUGGGGUUAUUCCACACUUUGUUGUCAUUUUUAAUGUUCAAAUUUAAAAUAUAUUAAUGUUUUUAUUGGCUGUCCCAGUAAUAGGGAAAUUAAUUUCGAGAAAAUCAACUUCCAAGCAACCUUUACUAACUGUCACAUAAAAAUUCAAACCUAGCAACUAAAUUAAAAAGAACGGUACAAACUUCCAUGAUUUGGCUUUUUUUUUUUUUAUUAUCCCAAAAAACCCAAGAUUUGAAGCGCUAAAUAUGUUUAAAAGAAAAAAAGGAAGAAGAAAGUCUGACUCGGUUUAAGGAUAAAAAGGUCCCGUGAAUGUGAUAGACCAGGGACACUAAAAGCCCUUCCAAAACCUAUAUAUAAAGCAAUCCAUCACCGACCGGGAGCAUCAGGUGCUUUUACCUUCCUCGAAAAAAAGAUUCGCUACCUAAAACCCAAAAAGAGAGAGAGAGAGAGAAACCAGAAACAUGGUAGACGAGAGCCCUUCUGCUAAGAGAUGGCUUCCACUUGAAGCCAACCCUGAUGUUAUGAACCAGGUUCCUCCUUUUCUGUUUUUCAAAUUUAUAAGUAACUUCUUGAAGUUCUUAUUUUUGUGCGAUUUUUCUUAUUGUGUUUUGCUCAUUACCUAGGCACCAUAAUGGCUACUUAAAAAUGGAAUCUUUUUUUUUCGCCUAUUCCUUUUCCUGUUAUGUUGAAAUUAACUAUAUAUUGAUUUAAUUCUAGUAUUCAGACUAUUUUCUUAAUUGCUUUUCCAGGAAGAACCCAAGGUUGUUUUUUUUUUCUUUUUAAUUGUCAUGGAGGAAUAUCAUUAUCUUAUAUCUGGGCACUCUAGUUAUUACAAGAAAAUGAAACUCCUUUUUCCCCGCUUUUGGAGAGCUAUGAUUUAAUUUUGCUAUUCACUUUCAUCUUGGGGAAGAUGUAAGUUUUAAUUUUUGUCUUCAAUACGGAAGCAUAUUCUUCAAUAUUUUUAUAAUACACCAAUCGGGCCAAUGGCCAUCCCUCAUAUUGAUGCUGUUAGGUUGUUAAACGGUAGUACUGAAAGUGGACCUCCCAUAAGGCCUGGAGUAAGGGUGGCUUUACCAACCUUACUCUCGGAUUGAUAAUGUUAUUCGACCUAAACUGUUGCUGUUUAAUUAAAUAUGAUAAGAUUAUUAAAUUAAAGAUAGUAGUUAUUUUGAGGGAAAUGGAUGUAUUAGCAAUUACAGCAGAGCACACUAAUUAUAUAAGAUUAAAGAAGCAUUAGAAAGAGAGAAAUUGUUGCUGCAUAUCUAAUAUGGUUUUGUUACUGGCAGUUCCUUUGGGGGCUUGGUGUCUCGCCUGAGGAGGCAGAGUGCUGUGAUGUCCUUGGAUUGGAUGAAGAACUUUUGGAAAUGGUUCCAAAGCCAGUGCUUGCUGUGCUGUUUCUGUAUCCCAUCACGCCACAGGUGCGUUGUGGUGAAAUCUGUGUUUGGUCCUACUAUUGCAAAUGUUGUAUUUCUUUUCUGUGGUGAUGUGUGAAGUUGGUUGUUCCUGUGUUUACUAAUAUUGGAUGAAAUUGUGUACUACCAGACUGAAGAAGAAAAACUAAAAAAAGACAGCUUGAUCAAGGUUAGUUUACAGAAAUUCUCUCUCUCUUUUUUUUUAUCUGUUCUCCUUUUUGAUUCCAAAGCUGUCAUGUUUUAUUAUGUUGUAUUAUCUGCAAAAUUUGCUAGUAGCAAGAAGGCAGUGUGCUUGUCAAUUGAGUGGAAAACUAAGAGUUUCAGGGCUUUUUAGUCAUCAGUUGGCUGAAAUCAUUUCAACAAGAAAACAAAAGCCUCAAACCAGCUUUUGUAAGUUGGUUGUGUGUAGGCCUUUAAAUGGGUUGGAUGCAGAUGAGCAGUACCAGUUCAUCCUUGGAUGAAAAAAUUAUUGUGAGAUUCAAACUUGACAGGUGGCCUUACAGUUGCCUUACACUGGAGUCGUCUAAGCCUGCUUCUUAGAUAAAAAAAAAGUUUUUUUAACACAUUUUAAGUGGCUUCAUUGUAUGUUAGCAUCUAGGACUCACUUCUUUUGAUUUUAGAAGUGCAUAUGACAAUUUUGGCAAAACCACUGCAUGCUUUUGCAAACGUAUUUACUCAUGCAAAAGCUUUAUUCUGCUGUACUGUUUCUUCUGGAGGGAGGUCUUUUUUCUUCAAAUCUGCUUUCCUGUCAAAGCAGUAUUGUCUCGAUCAUAUUACAUUUGGUCCAGUAUUCUGUCUUUAGCAAUGCCUACAGUGAUGCCACAGUUGCGAAUACUAUUUCAUGUUCAAUGGUUGACUUCUAUGCGCUUCCUUGGCCCUUCAUGGCUCCAUGGGGUUCCUCAAGUCAUGUUACAUCACAACAUGUUACAUUUUGUUGGUCUUCUGAAAUUGUUGGCAAUUUUUUUUGGUUUUCCUGAAAAUGAUUGUAGUUUUUCUGUGUAUCUUUUAGAACUAGAUUCCAUGUUUCAUAUGACAGCUAGUAUAAAUGUUUUUAGUGUUAUUAAUCUUAUAGUAAUUACAUUAACACUAGGAAGGGGCAUAUCACAUAAUCUGCCUGCAGGAUCCUAGUGCUGGAGUAUACUUUAUGAAACAAACUGUCGGAAAUGCCUGUGGAACAAUUGGGCUUCUUCACGCCAUUGCUAAUAUUACUUCAGAGAUAAAUCUUGGUCAGUACUUUAUUCCAUGGAUGAACAGUAUCAUGUCCAAUUCAUUUAACCUUUGUGGUGUUCUUCAUAUAUAUCAUUACUUUUUAUUGUACACAUAAGAGACUGCAUUUUUUCUAGUUUUGGUCCUUUUGAAUAUUGUUGUUGGUAGCUAGUCUUUGUAUUCCUAAGAGAUGGCUAAAUGUCCCUAGUGUGUUCUGUCAUUGCAGUCAUAAUUGCCAAUAGAUUUCCUCAUGAUUUCUUCAUCUCCUCUCAGAUUGUAUGUUGUGUACUGUAAGAUGCUGAGUUUACCCAAUCUAUUGAGGAGUAAUGUCAUAGAUGCAAAAGAAUAGUCCAUAGAGAAGGUAAUUUUACUAAAAGCUAAGGAUGCAUUGCAUGGGCGUGAUUUUACUACACGACAAGGGUAGGCCUAUAAUAUGCAUCUCAAUGAAAAGUAUGUUAGCAAACAGAUGAUAUUCUGUACUUCUACGUGUGGAGUUAAAAGUGAAAAUGGCGUGUCCUCUCGUAAUUAGUAGUUCUGAAUUUGUUUUGCCUUGUAAACAAGAAUAUUAAGGCCAAUUUGUGCUACAAAUGGUAAGGUAACCGAAAUUUAGAAUUCCUUUUAUUUGAAGCUGUGAUCUUGUCUUGAUCUAUUUUCUCUUUCUGUUGCUUUCUGUUGAUUGCAGCUGAGGGCUCAUACCUGGACAAGUUCUUUAAAACUACAGCAAACAUGAACCCAGAGGAGGUCUUAAUCUUACUUAUUUUUUCUUUUAGAAAUGAAAUUUUAAUGCAAGCUUAUCCAGUUGAUUUGCUUUGAUGUGCUUAACAGUAUAUUUACUUUUCUGGCAGCGUGCAGUAUUCCUUGAAAAUGACAGAGAAAUGGAAGUUGCUCAUUCUGUGGCGGCUAAUGGUGACACAGAGUCAAGAAUUUGGCAAACAUCUCUCUCUUUUUACUCAAGUGAAUCAUUGCGAAAAAGGCGAAUAAUUAUAUACUUUACCCAGUAAAUAUUUUUCUGGCAUUUGAAAAUUUUGAACAUGGUAAUUAGAUCUUUUGACAAUAUGAGUAUAUUUCCUAGUCUUCAACCAAAGGAAAAGGAAAUUCCUAUAAGCAUUUGUCAAUUAGUUUUUCCUGUUUCAUUAAUUAGUUUUUCUACUAACUUUCUAAUGUGGCUUGACUACAUAUGUUCUAUGUUAUUUCUUUAUUCAUUUAUUCAUAAAUUUAUUUACUUUUGCAAUUUGGUGGCAAACAUUCUGAAAUGUUCUUUCUUUUUAGCUACUUUUAAGUUGUUCAAAGGAGAUUCUGUCUUCGUCUGACAAGUUUCCAUUUACAGGCUAGAGAUAACGUGGACACCCAUUUUAUUUGUUUCACAUGUGUGAAUGGUAAGUCUUUCCAUUUUGCCUUCCAUAUAUACACAUGCCCUUUCCCCACUCCUCUUGCUCUGUAAAUAUUUGUUUGUCUUCUUGAGUAUACCUUUUAUUACUAAAUCAAGAUACAACAUCUUAUUAGUUGAAAGCACACGCAGUUCAGGCUAAAUUAUUCAUUGCUUAAAAUUGGCUUUACUGCAUCUGCAGUCCACUAGUUUUCAAGUAUUUCUCUAUUCUAUUCCCAAAUCAUAUCUGCUAUUCAAUUUCCUCCUGGACUUGCGAAGUCCUUUUGGGCUAAUUGAGUACUGAGUUUGUAUUUUCUGCUAUAAGGCCUAUAAUGUCUAUGGUUCACUGAAACAUCUUACGAUCACAUGUUCUAAAAGCUCAGAAAACUGGUUUAGGAGCUUGCAGUCAUUUCCACGGUAGUUCCAAGGUUCUACAUGCUUGCAAUUGUUGCUUUUCUUUCACUCUUGCAAAUUGUUUAAAUUGAUAAUGCCCAAUUAGUUUCAAAUGUUGGUUAUAUUAUCUAAAGGAAAUUGUUCCCUGUUUGACAUGGUCCAUGUACUUUUGCUAGUCAUACUUAGCAUACUUUGUGAUAUAGCUGUUUGGACAAGUUAAACAUAGAUGUAACGUGUGAAGCCUUAUACAGGACAACUUUAUGAGCUUGAUGGAAGGAGGUCCGGACCAGUUUCACAUGGUUCUUCCUCUUCAAGCAGCUUGUUGCAUGUAAUGUUACUUCUUUCUCUUCUUUUUAUAAUUCUGGUGCUUGGAUAGGAGCAUGUACAACACAUUGCAUGAAUGGGGAUGAAAGUUGGUGGAAAAGAAACUAAUCUCAGACAAAGCUUAAUGCCACUAUACGCUUUUUUUUUUUGGUUCAAAACAUUUUGGUGUUUUUUCAAUUUUAUUCUCCUGCAGUAGAGAAGAUGUUUGUUUAUGCAUCUAUUUAUGUUGUGAGUUUUAGAACUGUCGAUGUACAAUAUAUUUUGCCUUCUUUGUCAUAAGUACCAGAUACAGAUGCCUUACUUGAUCUUUGAGUAGCUUGAUUCUUUUCCCAGAGUUGUCAGAUGAGAGCAGGGUCUUUUAAGUUUUUAUGGUUUAUUCUGGGCAGUCUUUUAAGUUGUCAGAUGUACAUUUUUGAACAUGUUCUGAAAAAUAAUUGUAUAAAUCAAGACAGAAUGAAAGAAUCAAACUCAAAUUUUAGAUGAUAUGGAGAAGAUUUCUCAAUUGCUGUCUUGGAUAGGUGUUGGGUUGUAAUGAGGAUUGGGUACAAAGGAGUAAGAUCAGAAUACGCCUGUAUGCCAAAUUAUUAGAAGUUCAACGACGUGCCAACAGAAUAGUGAUGCUGUAUGUAAUAUCCAUUGAAGCUACAAGCAGAGAUAUCUUAAACUCGUGUUGAGCAUCGACUCGUCCAUGUUCUACUUUUUCCUCUUUUAGAUGAACUUCUUUGAUGUUAUGUGCAAUUUUGUCCCUUUUCAGUUACCCUGUUAAGUAUUUUCUUGGCGUGUUGUUAACAUGGGGAGUUUAGGAUACGAGGGAAUGCAAUUAGAGAAUGGGUGGACCUGGUGUCAAAUAUCUUGGAUAGUUUUGCAUGGCCGGCAUAUCCGAUAGAAAGGAGCUAUCAGCCUAUCCAAUGCUUAGUCAACUGGAUUUUAUGUUAGUUUCUAUCUGCUCAUGUCCACACGACUCCAAAGUUGUCUGCUUCCUAGUUUCUGUCUGCCUGCUCAUGUCCACAUGAUUCGAAAGUUGUCUGUUUCCCUAGUUUCAGUUAUGAAACGACUGUUUUUAUGCUUCAGUUAAAGCUGGACGUUCAACUUCUCUUUCUGAGUUAAUCACAUCGAUUGUCUCUGCAGGAUGCAGCUAAGGUUAUUCGGAAGAUGAUGGAGAAAAACCCAGAUUCACUAAACUUCAACGAGAUGGCCAUUUCUAAAAGUGUUCGAGGAGAAUAGACGAUACAACAUGAACAUCCAUUGCUGCCAUUGAGAAGUUGACCCACCUGGCUCUACCAGCUUCUUGGCCUAAACCAUGAGGACUGUUAUCGUUAUUACAUGUAAUGACAGAACCAGUUUUACCAGAAUUAUUAAGUCCUGGAAGAAGUCAGCUGUAACUCACAAAACUAAGUAGGUAUAUGUUUGCCUGAUAAGUAAAUGAUGACUAGUUACUGCCAAAAUUUCUUCAGUACAAUCAUCUCGAUGCUGCAGCAAUUUGUACGGCAAAUUUGCUUCAUUUUCACCUAGGAGAGAUAUCGACAAUAGCCAGUUUGGCAAUAGUGACAGAGAUUCAUUGGCAAUAGUGACAGAGAUCCCUGGCUGACCUUCGCAAUUGCCACUGGCAAUUCUUAAACUUGCCGUUUGGCAAUUGUCGACGGCAGUUAGCCAGGGAAGGAGGAAAAAAUAUCCAAUGGCAGUAGUGGCAGAAAUUCAUUGAAAUUCAUGGGAACGGGCAAUGAGUUGAUUGUUGCCAACAUUUUGGUUCAAGCCUGAUGUUGCAAAAUUUGUUAUUCUUUCCAAAUUUGAAUUAAACUUGAAUUUAAACCUACCUUUUUUCUUUAAGAAAUUUGAAUUGACAAACCUCGAACUGACGUUGACAUUAUGCCCAAUCUGAGCCGUGAACUGAGAUUAUGCUCAAUCUGAGCCGUGAACAAUACUCAGUUCACGGUAAAAUCUCUUACUUGCAAUCUUUCUCAUGGCAAUCUUUCUCAUUUAAAGAGAGAAUUUAAAAUCUCUUACUUACAAUCUUUUGCAACUGUCGCACUUUUACCGCCCACAAGAAAGUCAAAAUCAAAUAUCGCCACUUCUAGCCACAAUUAAUACACGAUUCUAGUCCAACACUUCCGUAAGGACCGUAACAUAUAAUUGAUCUCAAAAGUUGUAGCCUAGCGGGUUUCUUGUUUGAAAAAAGGUAGCAAUCUCUUUCAAUCAGGAUAUUCGCUCCUAGCUUACAAACUAAUAAUCCAAGAUCAACAAAUUUAAAAUGCAAAAAACCCACAAAUUAAUCAUAGAAAAAACAACCAAAAAAAAAAAGAAAAAGGAAAAACCUUGGAAUUAGGAGCCUAAAAGAAACACAAAUGUAUUAGCACACAUGAAACGUAUCCAACGACAAACUCGCAGAACAAGCUGAGUUGAGAGAAACAGCAACUCAUCUCCACUCUCUACAACAGUCACAACAACAAUUGAAUUGCCGAUUAACUAGGAAACAUACAAAGUCACAAUCCCGGCUAAUUAGAGCACAAAGUUUAUUCAUGCAUCAUCAUACAUCAAUUGCUUGCACAAUAUUCCAUCAAGUAUCUUGAUCUGGGGAACCUUUAAUCUGCUGCUGAGCCUGCUGCCCAAAAUGUUCAGCUUUGUCCCUCAUCUCCUUAGCUGCAUGAGCAAUCUUUUCUCUCGCACGAUCCAGCUGAUCUGCCCCGAUGGGGUGCUUCCCAGUCGCAUACCUGAACAUCCAAAAGAAAACAAAGCAAAAAUGAGCAAUCUUUUCUAUCACACGAUCCACCUGAUCUGCACCGAUAGGGUGCUUUCCAGUCGCAUACCUGAACAUCCAGUAGAAAAUAAAGGUGGCAGUUACGCCAAGACCUCCAGAGAUAAAGAACCCUGCAAGAAUCAGAAAGAAGGUUACAGCAGCUGGGACUAUCACAGGACUGAAAAUCACCAAAAGGGGCGUUGCCAAAACUAGGCCUAUUAUUGUUCCAGCCAGUGUCAGCCCCGACAGAAGCAUGAGUGAACCCCCCACGGUGACUGCUGUGGUGGUUUUUACCAGCUGACUAGUUGAGUGCUGUGUCUGCGGCUGGUCAGGGCGUGUUGCCAUUUCUUUUUUUUUUUCCUUCCAAUUUUUUGUUGGGAUUUUCAGCACAAUGGAUGGAAAUGGAGUUGGGAAUUGGGAUGUGAAUUGGAGAAGGGAAAGUGGAGAGAAAUGGAUUUGUUGGUGUGUAUAUAUAAAAUAAUAUAACCAAGGCUGGCUUGUCGUGGUGGUGUCACGUGAGGGGAGGGUCGAGUGUGACGUGUACGGUGCAUGAUAUGGAUCGUUUGGGUCGCUGACACGUAUGUUUUCCGGGCUGAUUAUCUAUAGCAAGGGAAACCAAACACUGGGAUGUGCAUGGAAGAUUGUCGUCUCCUGGGCGAUAAUAUCAGGGUUGUGGGGGAAUUGGAGACCUGCUUCAAGGUUUUAGGCUGCUACUAUCUGUUUGGGACAAGGGGCAGGCAGGAAAGGUGCACCCGUUACUUACGGUUUUGGUCAUUUUUAAUCGCGUGUUACUUUAGUUGCAUACGGUAUAAUUUUAUUUACACAACAUAUAAUUUUAGUAUAAAAUUUUACGGGUUUUACACAUAUUGUGAAAAUUGAUAUAUAAUUAGUGAUCUGAAUCGCAAAUUUUUUUUAGUCAAAAUCUGGCCGUGAACAGUUCAGGAGCGGUCAUCCCCUUAUCCGUUUGUUUCUUGAUGCAUACAUCCUUUGAUGCAAUGAUGCAUAUAUUCUUAACUACUUUACUAGCAAAAAGUGAACGAAGAAGAUGUGCUUAAUUGAUGUCAGCCCCUCAAUAGGUAGUUCAAAACUGAAAAAUAAAUUCUUGCUGUAUCUAUAUCGUGUAAGCAAAAUGAAAUUGGCCCUUUUCUGAGAGGUUUGUAAGGAUCAUAAAUAUCUACCUUAGGUUUUAGAAAUCAUUCUACUAGAGCCCAUAUCGUGUAAUGUUGUAGUAUUUUUUAUUUUUUUGGAAAUAAUAGAUGAUUUUAUUGAUAAACUAAAUUUUAUAGCAUUUGAGCAACGGUCCAUAUCGUGUAAUGUUGUAGUAUUUGCUUGCCUUGAAUAGGAAAAAUGGCCAAAUUCAUUCCUGAACUUUUUUCUAGAGUCGAUUGAGUCAUUAACUUUCAUUUCUGAUCAAUUUAUUCUUUAAAUUUAAUUUUUGAAUCCAAUUAAGUUCCUUUGUGUCAGUGCCACCACUUAAAAGGAAUCGGAUUUCUAAUUUAAUAGUUAAAUAAGGAUAUUUUAGGAACUUUAGGUAUAAACUAUAAUCAAACUAAGUAAAUUAAAAAAAUCAAUAAUAUUUGAGGUAUUUUUAAAAUUUAAAACUUUUUUAAGAUUUAAAAAAAAUUAAUUAAUUUAUUGACCCUCCCCCUCCCUUACCUCACAUCAUCCAUUUCAACAAUUGAAAAGGCAUUCAACAAAUUCAAAAUGCAUUCCAACAAACGAUAAAUAGCCUCUUUCUACUAGCUACCAAUUCCACCGGAUUUUACAGCAACACAAGCAAUUUGCUUUGAAAUGCGUUUGAUAAAUUCAAAACAUCUUCAGCAAACCUGAAGAAAAACUAAGACGAUUUUUAGAAAUUGUGGAACUAUUAGUAUGAAAGCAGAGGGUGAACAUCAGCCAAAGGCCGGAGUGAUGAUUAUGACAAUGCAGCAAUUGUGGCUAACGAAUGCUCCAGCAGCGAUUGCGUAAAUGGCUGGGACUUCUUUUCUCCAUCAGCCAUAAUGGUAGCAAAAGUGAUAAAAUUUGCAUAUUUAUGCUAUUUUUACUUGAGCCAGAAAGCAUUUGUAGAUUUCCUCUUCAACUUUCUCAAUUAUAAUAUAAACUCAAAGGUGGGGGAAAGAGGGUAGGGAGAGAGAGGUGGAAGGAGAAGGAGGCGGAGGUUAGUGAUGGAGGUUGGUGGUGGAGAGAGGGAUAAUUCAAAAAUUUCAAAAUACUCUUAUUUAAUUGUUAAAUUAAAAGUCAAAUUGCUUUUAGGUGGUGGCACGUGCCGUAGAAGGUUUUAAUUGGAUCCGAAAAUUAAGUUUAUGUAUUAAAUUGGUCAAAAAUAAAAGUUAAGGAUUAAAUCGAUCCUCACAAAAAGUUUAGGGAUGAAAUUGAUCAUUUUUUCGUCAUGAAUUGCAUGGCAAGAUUUGUCUGGAAUUACUCUUGGAUACUGUGCGUAGGGAAUCGGUCACUGUAUUCAAAACAAGAUGAUAUGUAAUUAAUUUUCUUUCAAAAUGUCUGUGUAAGUUUUACUAUUUGUAAACAUUUAAUUCCUGAGUCUUGAUUCAAUUCCUCUUUUUCUCAUUUCAACUUCUUAAAUCUCAUCUCCCUCUCUUACUUAAUAAUAUUAAUAAAAUUGAUAAAAAAAAAGAAGAAGAUGAUAUAGGUCUCCACUAGGCCCAUUACGCAUGGGGCAUUUGAAGGUUAUCACUUAUCAGAGGAAGGUAAUGAAUUGUGGAUGAUUCUCCUUGGCAGGUGCUUUGUCUUGCUUGGAAUAUCAUAGGUCUCGGAGCCUUUUCGGAAUCUUAAGCUGUUGCUUUGUUUCUCCCCACUGCCCUGCCAGUAUGACGUUUGAAUCCAUUAUCACGUGAAACACGUUUUUAAUAGACAACUUGUCAUCUGCAGAGUAAUGCCAGGUCCAUCUGUCUUUCACGCUUGUUCGUGCGGGAGGUAUGCUCUCAAUUAAGUCCGUUUCAUGCUGCCAGCCAAUUAAUUAUAGCAUCAAUCUUACUCUAAUUCCAACAAUGACAUCUCAAUCAUGGGUUGUAAUGAGGAUUGGGUACGAAGGAGUAAGAUCAGAAUACGCCAAAUUAGUAGAAGUUCAACUGCGUGCCAACAGAAUAGUGAUGCUGUGUAUAAUAUCCAUUGAAGCUUAAACUCGUGUUGACCAAUGACUGGUCCAUCUUCUACUUUUUCCUCUUUUAGAUGAACUUCUUUGAUGUUAUUUGCAACUUUGUCACUUUUCUGUUACCCUGUUAAGUAUCUUCUUGGUGUGUUGUUAACAUGGGAAGUUCAGGAUACGAGGGAAUGCAAUUAGGGAAUGGGUUAAAUGUAUUGGAUAGUUUUGCACGGCCGGCAUAUCCGAUAGAAAGGAGCUGUCAGCCUAUCCAAUGCUGAGUCAACUGGAUUUUACGUUAGUUUCUAUGUGCUCAUGUCCACGUGACUCGGAAGUUGUCUGCUUCCUAGUUUCAGUUACGAAACGACUGUUUUUAUGCUUCAGUUAAAGCUGGACGUUCAACUUCUCUUUCUGAGUUAAUCACAUCACAGUUAAAGCUGGACUUUCAACUUCUCUUUCUGAGUUAAUCACAUCGGAUGCAGCUAAGGUUAUUCGGAAGAUGAUUGAGAAAAACCCAGAUUCACUCAACUUCAAUGUGAUGGCCAUUUCUAAAAGGGUCUGAGGAGAAUAGACGAUGCAACAUGAGCAUCCAUUGCUGCCAUUGAGAAGUUGACCCACCUGGCUGCUCUACCAGCUUCUUGGCCUAAACCAUGAAGACUACUGUUAUUUUGCGCUCGUUAUUACAUGUAAUGCCAGAAUCAGUUUUACUAGGAGUAUUAAGCUCUGGAAGAAGUCAGCUGUAACUCACAAAACUAGCAAGUUAUAUGUUUGCCUGAUAAGUAAAUGAUGACUAGUUACUGCCCAAUUUUCUUCAGUACAAUCAAUCUCGAUGCUGCAGCAAUUUGCAGGGCAAAUUUGCUUCAUUUUCACCUAGGAGAGAUAUCGACACCGUUUGGCAAUAGUGACAGAGAUUGAUUGGAAGGGGCUGACCUUCGCCAUUGCCACUGGCAAUUCUUAAACUUGCAGUUCGCCUGGGAAGGAGUAAAAAAUAUCCAAUGGCAGUAGUGGCAGAAAUUCAUGGUGUUAACAACAGCGAGUAGCAAUAGCGGCAAUGAGUUGAUUGUUGCAAAACCUCCUGCUCUUACUUACAAUCUCCCUCAUUUCUACCGCCCACAAGCAAGUCAAAUAUCGCCACAAUUAAUACACAAGAUUCUAGUCUAACACUUCCGUAACAUAAUGGGUCUCAAAAGCUGUAGCUUGGCGGAAUUUUUGUUUAAAAAAUGGUGGUACUCUCUUUCAAUCAAAGAUAUUCGAUCCUAGCUUACAAACUAAUAAUCCAAGAUCAACACAGUUAAAAUGAAAAAAAACCCACAAAUUAAUCAUAGAAAAAAUAACCGAAAAAAAAGAAAAAAGAAAAAGCAUGGAGUUAGAAGCCUAAAAGAAACACAAAUGUUUUAGCACACAUGAAACUGAUAUAUCCAACGACAAACUCACAGAACAAGCUGAGUUGAGAGAAACAGCAACCCAUCUCCACUCUCUACAACAGUCACAACAACAAUUAAUUCGCCGAUUAACUAGGAAACAUAAAAAGUCACAAUCCCCCAUAAUUAGAGCACAAAGUUUAUUCAUGCAUCAUCAUACAUCAAUUGCUUGCACAAUAUUCCAUCAAGUAUCUCAA
rnacentral:lncRNA from 1 species